AUAAUAAAUGUUAUUUUUUAUUACAAAAUUAAUUUUUUUUAAUAUAUUUUUUAAAAUAAAAUUUUAAAAUUAUUAUUUGAUGUAGGUAUUGGGGUAGAAAAUGGAGUGUAGGAAUAACCUUACUCUUAUCAAUAUCUCUCGUAUAGAGGAGGAAACAUAUAAGCUUAUUGAAACACUACUUUUAUUUUCUAUAUACUAUAUGAUUACACGUACGUACACACACAAAAUCAUAGUCAUCAUCAUGUACAUACACGAGUGACCAAUAGAAGUAACGGCAACAAAGGUAUUUGUGAUAGAGAAUGCAGCUGAGGGUGCCUCAGCUUCUCCUGCUGGGCCAUUUGUUCCUGGUGCUGGUGGAGAAGAAGUGUUUGGGGUUGGUGAUGAAGGAGAAGAAGUGGUUGAAGGAGAGGGUGCUGGAGAAGAAGUUGUUGCAGGAGAAGGUGUUGGUGAUGUGUUUGUGGAGGGUGAUGGAGCAGGUGCUGAAUUGGGUGAUAAUGAUUGUGUGGGUGCGGGUGCAGGAGCCUGUUGUGCUAUGCAUGAGGUAGCCAAAAGCCCCAAUAUCAAAAACACUUUGACUGCAAGAGAACCCAUGUUUUAUUUAUAUAUAUGUUUUUGUGAUAGAGAAGAAUGUUGAGUGAAAUAUGAUUCCUCCAAAUAAAUAGUUUGUAAGAUAAUUGAUUUGUGUAAAGUUCAAGUCCAUAAUUGGGGGUAUAUAUAGUGUGCAAAUAUGCUUGUGUGUUUUCUUAGCGAAUCGGUGUCUGAUUAAUAAUUAGUCAAAUAAAAUAAAACACUACAUUUCCUUUUGUUUUGCAUGCAAUUUUCAUUUUCCAAUUGAUAUUUUUUAAUGAUAUUUUUGUCUUUUUUUAGCGAGGGCGGUUGUGACUUUAGAUGAGUAAUAGGUCAAAUAAAAUAAAAGACUACUUUUCCUUAUUUUUUAAAAGAUAUUAUUUCUUUAAUGCAAAUUUCUUUUUACAAUAAACAUUUACUUUGUGUUUGCAAGUGCAAGUUAAGUAAUACGACACUGGUUGUGUGCAGGCGAAGUUUCGACGUACGGUAUAACCGCGUUUAACCAUUCUCAAUUUGAUUUUUUCUCUGUUUCUAGGUUACCCAGUCAAAGAUUGAUUUGUUCACGUGACAGUGAAGGAUAAGGAAAGCGCUAUCUUUUAUAAUUAUUCGAUUAAAAGAAAAAGAAGCAAAGUUACAAAAUUAAAAGAUAAGAUAAAAUUUUAAAAUAAAUAGUAUUUUUUUUGGUUUAAAGUAAAUAGUUAAAGGUGUGAAAAACAGUUUUCUCAUUAAAAAGUUUAUAAAAAAAUUUAAUAGAAUUUAAUUUUAGUUAAAGAAAGAGUGCAAAGUAAAAGAAAAUUUAAAUCAUUAUUCUUCUGAUUCUAUUUAUAAGAGAAAAUUAAUUUGUUAAGUUUAUUAAAUAAUUAAUGUAUUUGAUUUAAUAUAUCGUCUAAAUAUAUUGAUUAUUCCAUGAAUAUAAAGUAUAAAUUUUCUCCCUAAAUAUAACCGGAGAUAGUAAUCAGCAAAUCCUAAAAAUUAUUAAGGUAUCUUUAUCUUUAAAAUACUGCAUGGUGCGACAAGUUCAAGGAAAUAUUCAAUUUAGCAAUUUGUUACAAAAAUGUUUGACAAAUGAAAUGUACUGGCGUCUGGCAAAAGUCCGGAAUCAGGGCCAAUUUGUUUUAGCUUAUAAAAAAUAGAUUUUUUAUUUUUAUUUUUGAAAAUGAAUUUUACAAAAAUAUUUUUUAAAAUAUUAAGAGUUUUUCUACAUUUGUUUUUUUAUAGAUUGAAUUGUUCAUUGUAUAACAUAAAUAUAGAUUAUUGGAGAUUAAAACAUACUCAAAAUCACAAUUUUUUCAAAAAGUUGUAUCUUAAAAAUGAUUUUUAUGAAAAACUAUUUGAAAUAGCUUCAAAAUUAAGUGAUUUUUUAAAAUUUUGAUAUCCAAAAAAAGUUUCGAUAAAAUGAUGAAAUACCUAAAAUAACAUUUUAAGAAUAACUAUUCAAACCAAAUUUUCAUUUGAAGCUUUUAUGAAAAGUUUCUUUGUAAAUAUCCAAAAAAAGUUUCGAUAAAAUGAUGAAAUACCUAAAAUAACAUUUUAAGAAUAACUAUUCAAACCAAAUUUUCAUUUGAAGCUUUUAUGAAAAGUUUCUUUGUAAAUUUUUUUUACACUAAAUUAUAUAACACUAUAAAAAUCAUUUUUAAAAAAGCCAAAACAAACGGGCCCUAGAUUGAUUCAAUAUGACAUUUUACAAAGUAAUUUGGGAUAUUAUUAAAUUUGAUUAAUUUGACAGUGUUAAUGAAUUAUUCUCUACGGAUCAUCUUCCAAAAGCUAUCAAUGCUUCUUUUUCUCGCUUUAACUCUGUUUGUCGAUGUUACUGUCAUCCUUGGAGACUAAUAAAAUAUUUGGGGUGAAGAGGGUCCCGAUAAUCAUGUGACUAAUGAUGUUGAAGAAAAAGAUAAGGAAGAAAAGGAUGUUGCUGCUGGUGAUAAUUAUGAAAAUGACACAAAUGCCUCUGUUGGCAUCUGAGUUGCUUGUUCUUAUUUUGUUUGAUUUUGUGGGCUUUGCCUUGGAUUUUUUUUAGCACCCUUGUGUGCUUUCGUAUGUACCCCUAACUCAUUUUCUGGUUGUUGAUUCUGGUUUCGAUAAAUGUCUGUUUGGUUUGUCAAUAUUCUAGCUAAAAGGGGGGAGUAGUGUGUGUAUAAUGUAUGUAUUUGUGUGUUGUUUGCCUUGGGUGUGAAGUGUUCCGGUUGUUUCAUUGAGGGGGAGUAUGGGCUCCGUGUGGCAGGGGGACUAAUACCUUGAUAGUUGAUCAUGCCAUUCAGGGGGAGUAUGGUGUUUGUGUGCUUAGGCUCUAUGGGUGCUUGCUGUAUAGUUGUGAUGUCAGACAUAAUGUCUUGGCAUUUUAUGUCAGAGAAUCUUUUCUCUAUGUGAUUUUUUUUUCUUUGAGGCUGGGUUUCUUCUCUAUAUUUCUGUUGCACGUGCCUCUGUUUUAUCUUGGUGGUAUACCAAGUUUAUGUGUGUUCUUUUUGUGAUUAUGAUUGCUGAUGUUGUGUGACUCUUUCUCCAUUUAUAUUAUGCAAAGGUUAUUUUAGCCAAAAUUUGCCAAAGGGGGAGAUUGUUAGGUAUGUGAUUUUAUGAUUGACAAUAAUUUUGUUAAAAUAUGUAUCACAACAAGAUGUUGAGCGAGAUGUCUUGACAUGUUGAUCAAACAUCUUUGCAGGAUCUGUUUUGCUUUUUGGAAGAUUUAUUUUAUUAUGAGAUCUCUGAAGAUUCUCUGAAUAUUCAACUAUCUUAUCUAACUAUCUGAGAAGGUUUAUUUUAUGAACACAUGGUUCUGUCCCAGCUGUGCGCUUGUUUCUUAAAAAGGAAUGUUGUGAAAUUUUACGAAACAUAUGAUCUUGUACCUGAUUUUAUGCAGAAGAUUCUACAGGAUUAGUGCAGCUGUCCAAAUUAGAUCUAUUGCGGUUUUUAAGCCUAAGCACAUGCUUACCAAAGGCUAUUUAAAGAGGACGUUACUAAACCUAAUUAACAGAAGUGAGAUCUACGCUUGAUAUUAUUGGAAUUAGGGUUUUAGUUGUUCUUUGUUAUUUCUUAUGAGCCACAAUUAUAUCACUUUGAUAUUAGAGUUGGUAUGUGUUUGAUUUGUAAUUGGUAAAUCACUCAUAAGCUUUUAAGCAGAGUGGGUUAUAUGUUUUAGAAGUGUGUUUUCCAUUAUUUGAUUAAAGUCAUUAUCAAUGUGUGUGAUUGAAGGGAAGUGAAAGGGGUCUCAUAUCUAGGAGAGUCUUAGAUAGAAAUAACAAGGGUAGUGAUUAGGUGCGAAGAUUGUAAACAGGAGGUUUUUUACUGAGGUCUUCAAACUAAUACUAUUAUAGUGGAUUUCCUUCCUUGCUUUGAUGCACCUAGUUGCACCGAACUGGGUUAACAAUCAUCUAUAAAAAAGUGCGCACAUAAAACAGAGUCGCCACAGAUGAUAUUUAUCCCAAGAUGGGGAAAGGAAUCACUGAGUAAACCUACAAAAAGGAUGAAUCUAAUGGUCUCGCAACCAAGAGAUGGGUAAGGGAGUCGAUCACGCAAGGGAAAAUUAUUAGCACCCCUCACGUCUAUAGUACUCUACAGGAUCCACUCUUGUUGUUCUGAUCGAAAAGGUGUGUUUAUUCUAAAACUUGUAAGAACAAAAAUUGUUCUACAACAGAUUCCUUGAUUUUGAUGAUAACAAAGGAUGAAACCAAAAAUGGCACCCUAACGAAAAGUUUCUAAGUGUGCAGGGUUCUAAAGAAAGAAGUAAUAAAUCUGAUGAUGUCAUCAGAUGCACAACAAGAUCAGAUACAAAUUCUCAAGUAUCAGAAGCAUCUGAAGUGGAAUCUCGUUCAAGAAAGUCUGACUCUGGACAAAACUGCAAAGUAUCAGAAGCAUCUGAACAUGAAGUAAAGUCUAGAAGCUCUGACUCUGAACAAAUGCCUUCUGUAAAUUCUGAAGUUAUCAGCGCCAUCUGAACUUUCAAGAGAUAACAUCAGAAGCCAGUUUCUCCAGAUACACGAAGACUCUAAUCAGAAUUGUUAAUCAUGAUGAAGUAACGUUUAAGCCAAGUUAAAGUUCUGCAAAUGGAUUUCCUCAAUUAGAAAGAGACGUUAAUCUCCACUUCCAAGAGAGAAGAUACUAAUUGUGGUAAGUAGUCACUUCUAAGAGAAAAAGUCUACUGCAGAAGCUAUUAAUGGAAUGGCGUAACUACAUCUCAAUAUCCAACAGAUUCAACGCUACUUCAACUCUACUUCAACUCCUAUAAAUAGAGAAGAAAUCUCAUUCAGUAAACACGAAGAAAUCACUAGCCAAAACUAUACUGAAAUUAUAUCACGCUCAAGAAAAACAUCUUUGUUCUUCAAAGAUUUUCACUAAGCUUUUGCUUAUCAAGUGAAAAAUUUGUUCUUAAGUUUGUAAUAUUUGCUUUCUUAGAAGCACUCUAGAUUACACAUCUUGUAUCUAAUUUUUAUUUGAUUUCCUCAAGUGACUCUUUGUAGUCUGUAGACUUGAGAGGACUAAGAGAUUUUCUUCUCUCUUAGGGGUUGUUUGUAAUCUUUCAAGAUUAGUGGAUUAAGUCCUUGUUGAAGGCGAAAUCACCUUGGCCGGGUGGACUGGAGUAGCUUUGUGUUAUAAGCGAACCAGUAUAAAAUCCUUGUGUGAUUUUCAUUUUGAAAAGCGCUUAUUUUUCCAAACAAUUCAAACCCCCCCUUUCUUGUUUUUCUCACCUUCAAUUGGUAUCAGAGCUCCGGCUCUGUUAUUGAUUUUCAAAUCAAACACUUAACCGUGUAGAGAGAUCCAGUGCGAGAAAAACAAAUGGCCCACUCAAAUGAGAAAGAUUCUUACAAUGCCAAGCCUCCUGUUUUUGAUGGAGAAAAGUUUGAUUACUGGAAAGAUAGAAUCGAAAGUUUCUUUCUGGGUUAUGAUGCUGACCUCUGGGACAUUGUCACAGAUGGAUACACACCUCCAGUCUUAAAUGGAGCUGAAGUUCCCAGAAGUAAGAUGUCAGAAGAUCAGAAACGUGUCUUCAAAAAUCACCACAAGGCCAGAACAAUACUUCUAAAUGCUAUAUCAUACAACGAAUAUGAAAAGAUCACCAACAGAGAGACAGCCAAAGAUAUACUUGACUCUCUGAAGAUGACCCAUGAAGGAAACUCCCAAGUCAAGGAGACGAAGGCUCUGGCGCUUAUCCAGAAAUAUGAAGCCUUCAAAAUGGAAGAUGACGAAGCUAUAGAGGCUAUGUUUUCCAGAUUUCAAACUCUUAUUGCAGGUCUUAAAGUGCUAGACAAAGGAUACACAACUGCAGAUCAUGUUAAGAAGAUAGUCAGAAGUCUGCCAAAGAAAUGGAGACCUAUGGUUACUGCUCUGAAGCUGUCAAAGGAUCUGAACAAUAUCAGCCUUGAAGAACUUGUUAGUUCUCUCAGAAGCCAUGAGAUAGAACUAGAGGAGGAUGAGCCUCAGAAAAGGAACAAGUCCGUAGCGCUAAAGUCCAGAUCUGAAAGACGGAAACCUGACAGAACCAAAGCUCUCCAGGCAGAAACUGAAGAUACUGACGACUCUGAACCAGAAGACUCUGAUGAUGAAGAAGAGUUGUCCCUACUAACCAGAAGAGUUAAGCAACUCUGGAAAAAGAGGAACAACAACUUCAGAAGACCAAGACCCAGAGGGGAUCGAUCAGAGUCAACUUCAAAAGGUAAAGCUAACAAAGAUAUUACCUGUUAUGAAUGUAAAGAAACAGGUCAUUACAGAAAUGAAUGCCCCAAGCUGAAGAAAGACAACCCUAGAAAAGAAAGCUUCAAGAAAAACACCUUCAGAACAAAGAAAGGACUGAUGGCUACCUGGGAUGAUAGUGAAUCUGGAUCAUCAGAAUCUGACUCUGAUGAACAGGCCAACGUAGCACUUAUGGCUACCACAUCCAGCAGCUCAGACGAAGAAUCUGAAGAGGUAUUUUCUGAACUUUCUCGAUCUGACUUAGAAUCAUGUUUGUCAGAAACUCUUACCUCUUAUCAGAAAUUAAAACAAAAGUUUAAAAACAUUAAAGGCUGUCUUAAAACAAAAUUUGAAGAAUGUAAUGAACUUGAGAUAACAAUUCUAGCACAUGAAGAUACAAUCAGAUCUUUAACGUUAGAAAGAGAUGGAGCAAAAACAAAAAGCUCAGAAUUAGAAGAAGCGUUGUCUCAAGCACCACAAACUUCAAAUAAAAUUAUUUAUAAAUAUGAAGAAGCCUUUCAAGAAUUUCUGAAGAAUGGGAUAGAUAGGAGUAUUAUGGCAUCCAUGAUUUAUGGAGUAAGUCAGAACAAUAAAAGGGGAAUUGGGUAUGAUCCUAAGGAAGAUAAAACUUCUACAAGUGAUCAAAUUAAAUCUCCUUUUUCAUAUCACUACACACACACACAAGAACACAAAUUUAAAAAUGCUAGAAGACCCAAAGUUAUAAGAAACUCUGGGAAAACUAAUCUAAAAGGACCCAAGAGAUUCUGGGUACCGAAAGAUAAGAUUAUCUAUGUUGCAGAUAUCCUAUGCAGCAAAGUUCAGACACCAGUCAUGGUACCUGGACUCUGGAUGCUCGCGACACAUGACGGGAAGAAAGUCUAUGUUCCAAAGUCUGGAACUUAAAGACGCUGGAUUUGUAGGCUUCGGAGGAGAUCAGAAAGGAAGGAUCAGAGGCUCCGGAACUAUUGGUAAUGGUACUCUUCCCUCUAUAUCUGAUGUUCUUUAUGUAGAAGGAUUAAUGCAUAACUUGUUAUCCAUAAGUCAAUUAAGUGAUAACGGUUAUGAUGUAAUCUUCAAUCAAAAAACAUGUAAAGCCAUUAAUCAGAACGAUGGCUCUGUCCUUUUCACAGGCAAGAGGAAAAACAACAUUUACAAAAUAAAUCUUUCUGAUUUAAAAGAUCAAAAUGUUAAAUGUCUAAUGUCAGUUCACGAAGAGCAAUGGGUAUGGCAUAGACGCUUGGGCCACAUUAGCAUGAGGAAACUUUCUCAGCUAACUAAACUCGAGUUAGUCAGAGGCCUACCUAAACUGAAGUUUUCUUCAGAUGCUCUGUGUGAAGCUUGUCAGAAAGGAAAAUUUUCAAAAACAUCUUUUAAAAAGAAAAAUGUUGUUUCUACCUCUAAGCCUCUGGAACUUCUUCACAUUGACUUAUUUGGUCCUGUGAAAACAGCAUCAGUUAAUGGAAAGAAGUAUGGACUAGUCAUUGUUGAUGAUUACAGUCGCUGGACAUGGGUAAAAUUCCUAAAGCACAAGAGUGAGUCUCACUCUGUAUUCACCAGUUUCUGUUCCAAAGUGCAAAAAGAAUUUGACUCUAAAAUUAUUAGAGUCAGAAGUGAUCAUGGUGGAGAAUUUGAAAACAAAGAUUUUGAAGAAUUAUUUGAUUCUAAUGGAAUAUCCCAUGAUUUCUCCUGCCCUAGAACUCCACAACAAAAUGGAGUUGUAGAGAGGAAGAAUAGGACACUCCAAGAGAUGGCCAGAACCAUGAUCAAUGAAACUAAUGUAGCAAAGCACUUUUGGGCAGAAGCUGUAAAUACAGCGUGUUACAUUCAGAAUAGAAUCUCUAUAAGACCUAUUCUGGAAAAGACUCCCUAUGAACUGUGUAAAGGAAGAAAACCAAACAUUUCAUAUUUUCAUCCUUUUGGAUGUUCUUGCUUUAUAUUAAAUACUAAAGAACAUCUGAACAAGUUUGAUUCCAAAGCACAGAAAGGUAUUAUGUUAGGAUACUCAGAACGCUCUAAAGGCUACAGAGUAUACAACACAGAAACCAAAAUUGUGGAAGAAUCAAUUCAUGUCAGAUUUGAUGAUAAGCUUGACCCUGAAAAGUCAAAGCUAGUUGAAAAGUUUGCAGAUUUGGAAAUCACUCUUGUAGAAUCUGAUAAAACUCCAGAAGCAACUGUCACUCAGAACUCUGAAGAAAUUAAAUCUCCAGAAAUCCCAAAGAAAGUCAAAAGUCGUAUCAAUGUAUCUGAAGAUUUGAUUCUGGGAAACAAGGACGAACCUGUCAGAACCAGAUCUACCUUCAGAACUUCUGAAGAUAUUCCUCUGGGACUAGUGUCUCUGAUUGAGCCUACGUCUUGUGAUGAAGCACUUCAGGAUAACGACUGGGUGGCAGCUAUGCAAGAAGAAUUGGAUCAAUUCUCAAAGAAUGAUGUCUGGGAUCUCGUUCCUAAACCCAGAGGCACUCACGUCAUUGGAACCAGAUGGGUUUUCAGAAACAAGCUGAACGAGAAAGGAGAAGUUGUCAGAAACAAAGCUCGACUGGUAGCUCAAGGUUACAGUCAACAAGAAGGUAUUGACUAUAAUGAAACCUUUGCUCCAGUCGCGAGGUUAGAAUCUAUUCGUCUUCUUGUAUCUUUUGCUAUUAAUCAUUCUAUUAAAUUAUAUCAAAUGGAUGUCAAGAGUGCAUUCCUUAAUGGUUAUAUAUCAGAAGAAGUGUAUGUCAACCAACCUCCAGGUUUUGAAAAUUCAAAUUUUCCAGAACAUGUUUUUAAACUUAAGAAAUCCUUAUAUGGACUUAAACAAGCUCCCAGAGCUUGGUAUGAACGAUUAAGCAAUUUUCUUCUGGAACAAAAUUUUAUCAGAGGGAAAGUUGAUUCUACACUCUUCUGUAAAAACCUUAAUAAUGAUCUCAUGAUAUGCCAGAUUUAUGUUGAUGAUAUUAUUUUUGGUUCUGCUAAUAUCUCUGUUUGCCAAGAAUUUUCUAAGUUAAUGCAGGCAGAAUUUGAAAUGAGUUUAAUGCAAGAACUAAAGUUCUUUCUGGGAAUUCAAAUUAAUCAAACUCCAGAAGUCACGUACGUCCAUCAAAGUAAAUACAUUAAAGACGUUCUGAAGAAGUUUGACAUGACUGAAUGCAACUCUGCAAAAACUCCCAUGCACCCAACUUGCAUUCUGGAAAAGGAAGAGGUAAGCAACAAGGUUUGUCAGAAGCUCUAUCGAGGUAUGAUAGGCUCUCUUCUCUAUCUGACUGCUACUCGUCCUGAUAUUCUCUUUAGUGUCUGUCUUUGUGCCAGAUUCCAAUCAGAUCCUAGAGAAUCUCAUUUAACAGCAGUUAAGAGAAUUCUUAAGUAUCUGAAAGGAACUCCUAACCUGGGCCUGAUGUAUGAGAAAACAUCAGAGUAUAGACUUUCUGGUUAUUGUGAUGCAGAUUAUGCAGGAGAUAGAAUAGAACGAAAAAGCACAUCUGGAAAUUGCCAGCUUCUGGGAAACAAUCUAAUCUCCUGGGCUAGCAAAAGACAGUCAACUAUUGCUCUAUCAACUGCAGAAGCAGAAUACAUCUCAGCAUCACUGUGCACAACUCAGAUGCUCUGGAUGAAGCAUCAGCUAGAAGAUCUACAAAUCUUUGAGAGUAACAUUCCUAUCUUUUGUGAUAAUACUGCUGCUAUUUGUUUAAGUAAGAAUCCCAUUCUACAUUCCAGAGCCAAACACAUUGAAAUAAAACAUCAUUUUAUCAGAGACUAUGUUCAGAAAGGGAUAGUAACAUUGAAGUUCAUUGAUACAGAACAUCAAUGGGCAGAUAUCUUUACUAAGCCUCUAGCUGAAGAUAGAUUUCUUUUUAUCUUAGAACAUCUGAACAUUAAAAAUUGUCCUGAAUGAAGUAUGGCUCUGAAAAUGUAAAAUGUGACUCUGAUGUAAACAAAUGUACUUCUGCCUCUGACUCUGAUACUUCUACCAAGUUAAGAAGAUAUCUGAGUUAGAAAUCUCCAGGAACCAAUCCUUUGGUAUUCCUGAAGAUCAGAUACAUCAACACGUGGAGCACUUAGCGUCCAACCCUAGAACUUCUAGACAGCUGUCCAGAAGAAAAUCAAAGGGAAACGUUUGAGAUCUCCUCGAGCAGUGUGCAUACUGUUGGGAUUAGACAUUCAUUAAUUAGCCUUAAUCAUUUCUCCCCCAAGCGUGCUUACUUGAGCUUUGUGCUAACGCAAUAUUGUGUGUCGUUUUGCAUGUGUUUUAACUUAGGGUAUUUAAACACUUUUCUCACUUUUCACACACUUUUCACUCUCACUCACUCUCAAACCCUCUCUAAAACCCUAAACCUCUCUGAAGCAUUCUCUGCAAACUCUCAAUCUUCAUCUUCUUCUUCACCAUGGACGCUCAACAACAAGAAGUGUUUAACUUUUCUCAACAAAUGGAAUCAAGCUCAACUGCUCAAACCUCAAGCAUUCCAACUCCAACGGUUACAGGCGUCACCAUCACCCCUGUUUACAAAGAACCUCACGUUCUUGACCGUGAACGCCAUAUCAACCUUUCAACCCCUUUUGAAGGUUUGGACGUGUUGUGUGAAUCGCUAGUUGAUUUCGACAACCUAAGAAGAAAUGGCGUUGAUCUAACUGGAGAACUUCGUCAACAAGGGUGGGAAAACUAUUUCCAAAGACUUUAUGGUCCCAUUUACCCACUUCUCGUCAAGGAGUUCUGGAGACAUGCAGAUGCAGAUGACAACUUCAUCGUCUCAUAUGUUCUGGGGGUGAAGAUUGUUAUUACUGAAGGGUCUAUUGCCUCCUUGUUGAACAUGGAGCGAAGUGGAGGAAAAAGGAUUUACAACAUUCCUCCUAGGUCAAAGCGCAUUACAGAUGUUAUCAACCCAACAAUCUUCAAACCCAACGUUGAAGGAAACCCUUCUAAAAACAAAGAGCUACACCAGAACCUCAGAGUGUGGCUGAAGAUUAUUCUGGGAACCAUUCACCACCGUCCAGCCUCUAACUCUUCUGACUACAUCAAUGCAGACCAGAAAUGCAUUCUGUACUGCAUUCAGAAGGGUGUGAAGAUCUCCCUCCCUGCUCUCCUUUUCAGAUAUCUGAGAGAUUCGGUCAGAGAAACCAGAAACAACAUGAAGCCCAGAUCCUACAUUCCUCUGGGAAGAUUGCUAUCUGAUGUCUUCAUUGAGCAUGGACUGGUAGACCAUCUGGAAAAGACAAAACUGAUGGAUGAUCUGGCAAUAGAUGUGGGGAAGCCUCUGAAUGCCAGAAACCUCAAGAGUAUGGGGAUAAUCAAGAAAAUUCAAGUCAGGCCAACUCUGGAUACAUCCUGGGAUAGUUUGAAAGAUCAGAGGAAGAUGCCUCAUGGCCUUGCCAGAUUCUUCAAGAAUGAACCCAGAGACGCUGUUGCUAUCUAUCUUCAUCGUCUGCUGGAAGAAGGUGUUGACGUCUCUGAUUUCAGCCUCGACGACUGUCUGGACUCUGAAGAAGACUUCGUCAGAUACAAGAGAGGUCUUUCUGAAAAGAAGGUAGCAUCUCAGGCAAAGAAGGCCAGACUCGGAGAAACUUCUGGAAGCAAAUCUUCAGCUCCUCUGAAUAUCUCUACUGGUAAGUCUGUUCCUCCUGUUACCUCUAAUCCUCUGAUGGCUUCUUCUAACCCUCUCUCUUCACAACCUAUUUAUACCACCUCUGAUAUUUCACCCUCAAUCACCAGAACCUCCCAACCUACACCAGUUCUAAAUAUAGCCCGUACAUUCAUACCUCCCUCUGAACCUAAACAAACCCACCAAAGCACUUCAUCUUCAUCAUCCUCAGCACCAGAAUCACCCCCAUAUGUUUCCCUCUCAUCUGACCCAGAAUUUUCUGACCCUGAUUCCCCAACCAUAGCCACAAUUUAUGCUCAUAGACUUGCUUCACAACAAACACAAACACAAUCUGAAGCAACUUCACCUCCACCACAACAAACAACCACCAUACCUUCUGAAGACCAACCCUCUGACCAUCCCACUUCUGAUAUCAACCCACCAAACACCUCUGCUGCACCUGAAUCUGAAACUGAAACUGAACCUUUAGAUUUAAAUCCUCUUUACGCUUCACCCCAAACAUCUGAACCUCAACCUGAAUCAGAAACUGAACCAGAACCUCUAACUCUAAAUCUCAGCCCUCCAACAUCUCCACCUCAUACCUCUGAACCUGACCUUUCUGUACCUACCCUUGAGGAAGCCAUCAUGCUGGUCGCAGGGGCUUCAGUACAAAAGGUCAAGUCUCUGACCACUAACUCUGAAGUCAGUGAUGAUCCUGACUCUGUAAGGACACACUGGAACAGAGUCAUUGGCUGGAUGACCUCUGAGUCUUUUAGGCUGAAGAGUAUCUCUGAACAAGUCAGAAAUGGCUACAUCAGAGAUGCUGAGGCAAGACUCCAAGAGAGAUUAGCCAGAGAAGCUGAAGCUAGAAGGCUAGAGGAAGAGAGAUUGGCAAAGGAAGCUGAAGAAGAAGCAAGAAGACUGGAAGAAGAAGAAAAAGCUCGUCAAGCUGAAAUCCUAAGGGAAAAGGAAGCUGAAGCUAAGGCUCUGGCGGAUGCAGAAGCCCAAGCUGCUGCUGAAGCUGAAGCUCAGCAGGCUCUGACUCUGGGGGAGUCCUCUUCUGUGAUCCCUAUGGUUCUUCAGACUCUGAAAGAACUUAAGCAAGAUCAGAAUGAACUCCGGGCCAGAAUGGACAAGCAAGAUACUGUCAACGACAACAUCCAGAACAUGCUUGCUAUGCUGCUUCAGAGAAUGCCUCCGCCUCCGAACCCUUAGGCACUUAGGAUUUAUUUUGCUUGCCUGUUGUUUUAUUUUCUCUGAAUCUGAUGUUUUCUAGUUCUUGUUGCCUUUGUGCUUUUAUCUGAAUACAAGUUUUUCUCUUAAUUUUUUUUUUUUUUGCUAUGUCUUUUUGAUUCUGACAAAAAGGGGGAGAAGUCAUUAAUAGCUCUGAUGAAAAUAUUGUCUAAAUACCUUAAGCAUUCUGCAACAUAUUUUUCUUAAAAAUAAAUUUAUCUAACCUGGACUUAAGAAAUUGCAGAAGGUAUCAAGAAACCUCUUUACUUAGAAGCUCUGGUAAGAACUUCUGAACUCCCUAGCACUAUCUCAGGGGGAGCUUCUGUCUAUCUGAUCUGAUAUUAUUCAUGUUUCAUCUGCUAAUUAAGGUUGUUUUGUCAUCAUCAAAAAGGGGGAGUUUGUAAGAACAAAAAUUGUUCUACAACAGAUUCCUUGAUUUUGAUGAUAACAAAGGAUGAAACCAAAAAUGGCACCCUAACGAAAAGUUUCUAAGUGUGCAGGAUUCUAAAGAAAGAAGGAAGAAAUCUGAUGAUGUCAUCAGAUACAAAACAAGAUCAGAUACAAAAUAUCAAAUGAUCAGAAGCAUCUGAAGUGGAAACACGUUCAAGAAAGUCUAACUCUGAGCAAAACAGCAAAGUAUCAGAAGCAUCUGAACAAGAAGUAAGCUCUAGAAGUUCUGACUCUGAACAACGCUAUCUCUAAGCUCCAGAAGUUAUCAGCGCUAUCUGAAGAAACUAUCUGAACUCAAGAGAUUAACAUCAGAAGCAAGAUUCCAAGAUUCUCCAGAAACACAAAUACUCUGAGCAUGGAAUUGCUAAUCAUGAAAGAGUAACGUUUAAGUCAAGAAAAGAUUUGCAAAUGGAUUUCCUAAUUGAGAAAGAGACGUUAAUCUCCAAUCUCAAUAAAGAAAAUACUACUUGUGGUAAGUAGUCAUUUCAAGAAGAAAAAGUCAUCCUGCAGAAGCUAUUUAUGUGAUGGCGUAACUUCAUCUCAAUAUCCACCAGUUUCAACUACUACCUCACUGAUCUAUAUAAAGGAUUGAGAAUCAACUUUCAAAAAAAUAUACUAGCUAACAAGUCAGUAAGCCAACAAGCCAAAAUUAUACUGAAACACCAAGUCAAGAAAAACAUUCUUUCUCUCUAAGAUAUUCACGAAGCUUUUGCUUAUAACGUGAAAAACUCUUGUUCUUAACACUGUAAUAUUUGCUUUCUUAGAAGCACUCUAGAUUACAUAAAUCUUUCAUUUAUUGUUUGUUGAUUUCCUCAAGUGACUCUGUGUAGUCUGUAUACUUGAGAGGGCUAAGAGAUUUUUAUCUUAGACGUUGUUUGUAAUCUUUCAAGAUUAGUGGAUUAAGUCCUUGUUGAAGGCGAAAUCACCUUGGCCGGGGGGACUGGAGUAGCUUUGUGUUAUAAGCGAACCAGUAUAAAAUCCUUGUGUGAUUUUCUUUUUGAAAAGCGCUUAUUUUUCCAAACAAUUCAAACCCCCCCUUUCUUGUUUUUCUCACCUUCAAAACUUACCAACUAAAAGGGAAUGCAUGCAGAAAGAUUGAAUUAUUUACAAAAUAAAAAGAUUUUUUUUUAUUAUUGCGCUCGCUUAGGUUUUGCAACCCAAUGCCUAUGCAUCAAUAAAGAAUCAUACCACCGUAGUUCUUCUCAAAAAAUUUGGUUUGUUGGUGCUUUUUAUGGGUAACCACCCUUAUUGAAAAUUUUCAUAAGAAAAGCCAAGCGGCAAAAUAAGUUUAAUUAGUUGAGUAUUUUAUUGAGAGAAUACAUCAAAUGAUCCACCCAAGGCAAAGAGAUCCUAUGGGGAACAUGUUAUCCACAAAUGGAAAAGAGAUAUAAGAAGAUGACAAUCCAUAUCAAGUCAUGGAACAAACAAACAAAAAAACACAAUACCAUAUCAAAUCAUGGAAGAACAGAUAAACAAUACCAUAUCAAGUCAUGAAGAAAAAUAAAAGACAAACAAUUCCAUAUCAAGUCAAGGAAUAGACAAAGUAAUAACAAUCCGUAUCCAUUCAUGGAGAAAAUAAAUAGCACAAAAACAGAUAAACAAUCCAUAUCAAGUCAUGGAAGAAAGAUUGAGAGAAAUCAUAUUAAGUCAUGGAAGAGAAAGUAAAAUAGUGGCAAUCCAUAUCAAGUCAUGGAGAAAAAUAAAAGACAAUAACAGAUAAAUAAUCCAUAUCAAGUCAUGGAAGAAAGAAACAUAGAAAUGUUAUUCAAUUAACAAAAGUCUCAAUAUCAAGAAUGAGUUCACAUUGGUAUUGAAUCCAUGGUAUAAGCACCCAAGUACACAAACAUCAUGCAAAGUUGUAAAGUGAAGUUAACACAAGUAUGUGAACAAUUAGAAAUGGAAAAAUACAUAGUAUGUGAAUGAUAUCAAAAGAAAAUAAAUAGGGUCAAUUCAUAUAAGAAAAACUCAAGACAUCUCAGAGGCACACUCAAAGAUUGAGGCGACUAAAUGAUCAAAAUCAAACCCUAGUCAUGCUCUUAAUGGCUAACGAAUUUCAAGCAAGUAUAUAUGAAGUAAUAUUAUGAGAAAAUGGUACCAAACCACACAAUUCAGAAGUAUAGGAUAUUCAAACUUCACAUAAAAAUCACUCAAACAUUAAGAAUGAACCAAACAAACUAUGCUCCAAGAUAGGUAAACAAUCACACAAGCUCAAAAAGCUCAGACAAGAAGUAAACAAACUAUGAAGCAAACACAUGACAUCAAGAGAUGUAUGACUUGUGCAAUAAGUUAACUCAAGAUGAGGUUCAGGAAUAACAAGGGAAGUCAUUCAAACUUCACACACAUAUUAAAGUCAAGUAACUUGGAAAAUAAUAAAGAUAUCAUCCUAGAAAAAGAAAUCAUUUAUCAAAAUGAAAUAGGAUAAGUAAGGGUAAAGAGAGGGAUGCUUAGGUGAUGGGACAUUAAAAAAGAUCUUCAAAGAAACAAAUACAACCGUCAAAUUCAAGAGGUAUAAACAAGCAAACAACCUCAAAGUUUAUGCAUAACUAGUAAGUCAAAAGGUGGGCAUCAUCCAAGUAAGGAGUCCUUUGUCCAACCAAAGUAAAUGGGAAAUACAAAAUGAAAUGGAUACAUGAAUAAAUGAAGUGAGAACAACAUAAAACCAUACAAAAAAUGGAUCCCAAUCUCCUAAGAGCUUCACCAUCUACUAAACUCAAAAUUAGGUCAAGAAAAGAAGAAUGUAGCUCUUAAUAUGUCAUCAUGAUGAAGUGGUAAUGGAAUACCAUUCAAAGAAUCAUAAGAGCAAGGUAAAAAUAUACCAAGACCAAGGAAGUUAGAAUCAAAAGAAAUGAGGAGUAAAAAACAAUUGGACCGAUAAUACUCAAGUUGGAAUGCACAAGACACCAUCUAAACUAUGAUCUCAAAGGCAAGCAAAUAGGAUUCAAGAUAAUCAAGCAAAUAUGCAUCAAUUGGAGACACCUGAAAUGGUCCAAAUGAAUGAAUUUAGGACUCAUAAUGAUGAUGAAGUAGUUAAUCAAGGAGGGGAAAUAUAUCCCACAUGGUUGCACAAGUGCAUACCAAAAUAAAUCAUCUAGGUGCAAAAUGUAUCACCAGAAAACAAGCAUGCUUGAAUAAUUAAAUAAAAAUAUUUAGAAGCAUGGAAAAAUUAUGAAAAAUUAAACAUGGAAAGAUAAAGUCAUAAACUCAAUGUGUUCCAAAGAUGUAUUUAAAAUCAUGUGCAAAUGAUGUUCAAGAAAAUCAAUCAUUCAAACAAUGCACCAUUAAUUGGUCAUCCCAAGUAAUCUUCAAAAAUAAGUUCAGAAACAAUCCAAAAUUAAUAAUCCAAACAUCAAAUGAAAACCCAAAUGACCUAUAUUCAUAUGUCUAUAUGUGUACAAAAGAUUGGAUCAAAAUUCAAAUGGGAAGAUCCAAAAUCGAACCCUAACAAAUAAAACGAGGUUAAAUAAACAUAAUUAAAUAUAAAAGUCAAAACAUAUAUUAAAAUAAAUCAAAAAUAAAAACAUGGAAAUAUGGAAAAUUAAAUAAUACUAAAAAUAUCAUUCAUGAAUUAUUUGGGAAUUUUUAGACCAAGGGAGGUAAUUUAAAUAAAAUCAAAAGAAACAAUAAUCAAAUAAUAAAAGAAAAUGGAAUGGGGGUGCAUAUAAGAAAAUGGACCAAAGGCAAUCUGUUAACAUGAACAUGGCCCAAAAUAAAGGGGUGGGGAAAGCAACGUUGCACGCAGCCCCGUCCAAUAAUAAAUCAGAAAAAUAAAAAGGAAAAUGAAAUGGAGGGUGUCAUGCUUCAUGUGGAACCUUCCCUUAAUCGGUCACCCAACUCACUUAAAUGCUGGAAGACAAAACCAAACCAUGGCCAAUCAAAACACGCCAUGCACUCAUCUUCAACCUUGUCCAUGCACCACAACGAGUUUACAAACCCUAAAACCCGAUUUCAACAUGCCACCUUCUUUCUCACACAACUUCCUCAUCUCUCAACCAAAUCACACGAAGUUUGAAUAAAAAAUAUAGUACACAAAUGGUAGAACAUCAUGGCAUACUUAGUUUUUAAAAAUGGACAAAGGAGCAUGGAGAUGAAUGAGCAUGAACAUACAGGUUCAAACAAAAUCAAACAUCAUUCAAACAAAGUUAUACAAGGACAAAGGAGCAUGGAGAUGAAUGAGCAUGAACAUACAGGUUCAAACAAAAUCAAACAUCAUUCAAACAAAGUUAUACAUGAAAUUAUGAGUCUAGCUCCAUGAUCCAUUCCAAGAGUGGAUCUUCUAGAUGCAGAUGAAUGAGCUUAAGCAUGGUGAAUGGCUAGCAUGAAGAAGCAUAAAGUGAGGGAGACUUACCUAGUGGAGAAUGCCCACUGCACCUUGGAUUCUUGGAGAAAGAAGAUGAACAAGACCAGUAGGAAGAUGAUGAGCAGUGGUGAGCCAGGUAAAAGCUCAAAUGUAGCUUCAAUAAUGGAGAAAAAGUAGAGAAAAUGAAAAGGGUUCAGAUUUCCUAUACUUAUGUUCAGCCUCCAACCAACGUCCUCCUCUAGGUUUAGAGAGUAAAAAACCUUUUAUAUGAGCCCCAAGUGAGGGCAGAAGAGUCAACACACUUGGCCAAAGUUGAUAUCCCAAUUUUAGACAAAAUUAGAAUGAGAGUGAGGUGUGCAUUUUGCGUUUUAGAUGUGUUUUAGGUGUGCGGUGUGUCGUUUCAGGUUGUUGGAAUGGAGUGGAGAUAACCCAGAACUCUUGGGGACUUGGAGAGAGUGGAAAGAGAAGGAAAGGCAAAUUGGAAUAUAUCUAUAUUUGGCCCAAUUGAGGUAGCAUGUACAAGCAUGCAAAAGGUGUGUUGCUUGGUCAUAAAAAGCAUGGAAAGAAGGGUGGCAUGCGUGUGGGAAAGUUAUGCUACAAGUAAGAGCCAAAACAAUACCUAAACUCAAUGACAUUCAUAAUGUUGGGAAUUAAGGAUCAUUGAUGUUCAAGCCAACAUAACUUUAUGGUUCCUUGGCCAAAUGAGGGAAACUAGGGCUUUUUGGAAAGAAGGAAGGGAGAUGAACAAGUUUUAUGUUGGAAGAAAAAUGAAACAAAGCCUUGAAAUCCCUUAAAAAUGGCCACGAAAACAUUUGCUUGAAACUGCAUGCAUUCAUGCAAAUUAUAGGUCAAUUGGAAAUUGUGAGAUCCUAACUUGACAGCUUAAUAACUUGCUCAUCAAGCCACUAAAUGAAAAACUUUUUGAAGCAAAAAUAGAGGGGGGAAAUAGAGGGGGGAAUAUGAUCUAUAACUUUCAUGUUGAAGUCAAUUUAAAAUGAAACUUGCAUCUAGGUGGAAAAUGGCCAUCAAGAUGGUUGCUUGAAAUUGACCAAACACUUAGCAAAAUUUCACUAUCUUGUUGCAAGAACGCCAUGUUCUCCAAACCUUCAACUCAACUAAUUUCGAACGCAAGUCGCUUGAACCCUAAGCUUUCUUCACAAUCCUUCGAUUACCAUUACUUGUUUGACCGAACCUUCCGUUCUUCAAACUUUUCACUCAGCUGAAUCUGUGAAGCAAAGGUUAGUGUAAAAACCCUCAAUUCUUGAAGGAUAAAACCUCAAUGGUUUUAUUCAAGAAAAACCUACACAAAGUCUCAACCCAAACUAAGAUAAUCCAAUCUUAUUUGGACGUUAUCACAACAGUAAUGCACAAUGCUCAACAAAGAUUAUUAUGUGUGAUUAUUGAGAAAUGCAAUGCAAAAUGAAGAUGUUCUUGUGAAACCACAUAUAGAAAGUGAAAUCUUGUUAUUUUGUCGAAGAAGAGACACUUGAAUAUUUAUAUGAUGCAUGGACCAAAUAAAAACCAUAACAGAAAUAUUUUGCAAAGUUACACAUCAUAAAAUUAAGUAAAACAGGCGAUGAGUCGACUCAAACAGAGUUUUUCAAGGGUUGAGUCGACCUAUAACUCGACCUAUUCAGACCCGUGAUUACAUGGUUCAAAAUAAAAUAGGCAUUGAAUGGACGCAACAUGUGGAUGAGUCGACUCAUUCAAUUUUCCCAGGAUUGAGUCGACCUGUGACUCGACCUGUUCAGACCCGAGAGUUACGCUCUGAGUCAUUGAGUCGGCCUGUGACUCAACCUGUUCAGACCCGAGAAUUAUGCUCCGAAUCAUGAGUCGACUCAUAGUUCUUAAACUCCCAAAAAUGAGUUUUGAGAUGUGUUUUGACCAAAUUAAACCAAUCUCUUAUGAACCUAGGAUAUUAACGAUUAUCAAGUGCAUGAUUCACCUCUAUGAUAUGCUCCCAUAUGCCUGGACAUGCUGAACUUAUAUUUUGAACAUGUUAGAGGAUGGAUGCAUUCUAUAAUAUGAUGAUAUUGUCCAAGGUACAUGUUAUGGGCGAUUAGAAAGGUUUGACAUCAUUAAAAUAAGGACUAGGCAUAUUUGCCCUACUAUAAUAUGAUGAUAUUGUCCAAGGUACAUGUUAUGGGCGAUUAGAAAGGUUUGACAUCAUUAAAAUAAGGACUAGGCAUAUUUGCCCUCACAAAUUUUUGAUGAGAAACCAGCAGCCUGACACGGUCUCCCGUGUCAGCUGACACGUGCCAUGUCAAGACCAUGACAAAAGCCUUCAAAUUGAGAAUUGCAGGCGCUUGAAACGGCCGACCGUGGUGCUUUAUACAACCCGUGUCAGGAGCACUGAAGAAAAGGGUGAAAAUUAACAUUGGCAGAAGCCUGACACGGCCCGUGUCAGGACCACUGAAAACCACGCCCCGAAGAUGUUAAGUUACAUCAUCCUGACACGGCCGCCCAUGUCAGGCCUAUGGAUUUGAAAAUUUGAAAAUUUAUUGUAUAUUGUAUGGGCCCCACCCCUUAUUAAAACCCAAUAACCACUCAUUACACCCACUUAACACUUCCCAAAAAUAUGAUUUCAUUCAUUCUCCACUCAUUAUCUCUCACAAACUUCAUCUUCUCCACCAUCUCUCUCUCCAAAAACGUAAUCUUCCAUUAACCCCUCCCCCCCACACACACACACACAAAAAAAAAGCUUCCACCUUUACCACCAUAACAACCCCAAGUCACAAACUCCCUUCAUGAAUCCUUCUUCAUUUUUCGCCCUAAUCACACCCACAAUGUCUGUUUUCUCUAAUUCCAAUUUCGAAUUUAUCUUAAUUUUUGCAGAUACGAAAAUUCCCCUAUGGAGGAUUGUUCAAGGGUAGCAAAAAAUGGCCGAGAUCUCGUGGCCACAAAAGAGGAGCAGCCGUAAUCUGAACCCGCACAAUAUUGUCUUCGACAAUCCAGAGCAGGAGCAACAAUACUCCAUUCAUAGAAAGUGUAAGUUAACCCCACCAGGUACAUAUGCAAACAAACCCUUCAUGAUUUAGGCUUAAAGAGUGAAAUUUAUAGGAUAUUCCAUGUGUUAGGUAUGUUAGAAUUCAUGAGUCUCGAAGCGCCUACUUAUGAGCGCAUCACACUUGAAUUUUUUAGCACACUUGAAUUCCAUCUAGAGAAGCAGUGGAUUAACAUGACGAGGUACUGCUAUGGUACUCUUCGAUUUCGUCUUUUUAAUAAUUAUCAUGAGCUAUUUGUUGAGGAGUUGGCUGAUAUUCUCCGACUCCCACUGUACGGACCUGGUGCGGUCCCUAAAGGGUUGAUCCACAAGAUUUCUGGACUGCAAUUACUGGGAGGACUAAUUACACCUCCAAAGGUGCAAAAGCCUCUGGCAUCCAGAACCUGUGCUUCCUCUAUCCCCAAAAAGGUCUGGCGUAUACUAUGUUUGGACGGGGUGAUAGUACGGACGUGGCAACUCAACGGGAGUUGUUCUUCCUAUACUCAAUGGCACAUAAUUAGGCCAUCAAUGUUGCUGCCUUUGCAUCUAAUUACUUGGGGAGAGUUGGUCGGGCAGACACAGGUGGUAAUUUUGUUGGGGGUAUGAUUACCCAGAUUGCUAAACAUUUUGGUUAUCGUACGGUUUUGCUUAAAGAGACUACGGUGGCAGGUAAGACAACUUUUGAUAUGGCAACUCUCAUCCAAUAAGGUAUGAUUUCUAUUACACAUGAUUACUACUCUAUUAUGAUCCAUAAAAGGUUUAUCAUUUCACUACCUAAUCCUAACAGAGUAAGUGUUGCUGAUUGUGCUAAUUGGUUGUAUGUGAGUGCUGAUCCUGAUGCAGAGGAAGGCUACGAUGCUGAAAAUAUGGUUGCAGGUGAACAAAUGAAUGAAGACGAGCAGCAUCAGAAGCCGUUUAUACCCCCUGACCCAAGAGCCAACCAAGAAGGGAGCUGGGUCAUCAUCCAUGAAUUACGACCAGUGGGCACGGGUAAAAACCGAGCUCGGUGACCUUAAAACUAAGCAAUCAAGACAAGGCAUCGAGGAGGCCCAGUAAGGGGAAGUUUUGGAUGAGAUGAACCUGAUGAUCCGACAGUUGAUGUUGCACUUUCCGCACCAGCCUCCUCAGUAGGGCACUGUGAGUCACACUUCUUCUAUCUUGUUCUAAAACAUUAAGGUCAAUGUUUAGUUCAAGUAUGAGAGAGGUUUAAUUAUGCUUUUUGUUUUUAUGUUUUUUUUUAUUUCACAUUUUGUGUACUGUUUUACAUUUGGUUUGUCCGUUACUGUUGGGUAUCAUUUGUUGCAUGUAUUUCAGGUUCUUGUUGUUAUUGUUGGAUUAGAUGAUGACCAUUAGUGGUAGUGGAUGAAAUGAUCACUCCAUUUACUGUUGCUUGUUGUGAAUGAUCUUCCCAAAAAGUUGAUACUGCUAAAGGAAAGGAUUGGAUGCAACUGUCUCAAGCUCGACUAACAUAGGUUCCCUAUCAUUCUGAGCUAAGUAAGAAGACGCAUCAUACUAGAAGUACUGUGGAUUCUGUCAAACUUUACCUAACAUGGUGAGUGCAUAAAAAGCCAAACACAUUUGUCAUCAUGAACUAUAUUCAGGUAUGUCUUUAUCACACUGAGUUUGCGUAAUUUCUCUUGGAAUAUCACUGCAUAUAUAUACACACUGAGGCAUAUUGUUUAAGUAAUAUCCCUGAGCCUUUCUAGUGAUCCCUUUAAUAUUAUCCCUCGUUAACCCCGUUUGAGCCUGUACCCUUUGUUUGUAUAUAUAACCACAUGAAUGUAACUCGCGGCCCAAACACUUCCUUACCCUGUUCAGAGAAAAUGUUAUAUUCUUUAAGCUGUGUUAAAUUCUAAGUUUGGGGUAACCCCAUAAGUAUCUGAAAGUAAGGUGAGUCCGAAAAAAGAUUGAGAAAAACGAUCAUCGAAAAAAAAUGAAAAAAAAAGAAAAAAAAGAAAAAAAAAAGAAAUUCGAUGGAACAAGAAAAGCACUCACCGAAUGAGAAACACUCAGUUGGGUAUAAAUAAAUCAAAGAAAAAAAAGAGAACUGAGUAACAAACUAGAAAAAGAAAAGAAUGGGAAAUGAUAUGUUAGAACAAACACAGUGAAAAGAAUAAUGACAUUGACUCUGAACCCAAAAAAAUUUGUUUGUAUUUACCCCAUCGUAGCCCAAGCCCUGUUAUAACCCGAAAGACCUCAAAAAAUGUGUGUUGUGUGUAGUUGAUACGAAAGGAAAAGCUAUUCAAAUUUAGGAGUCAAUAUUGCAUAUUCUAAAAUGUGAGUGUAAACACUUUAACCCGGAGAAAAUUGGUGAGAGUGUGAUAUAAGCUGAAAGGUGAAGUAGUACGUCAAUAUGGAAGUGCGGCGAAAAACCAAUGAGGAAAAGCAGGGACUAUAAAAGGGAGCAUGAAGGUGUGUGGAGAAAGAUCUCAGCAGUAUUGUGGUAAGAAAAAUUCAGUUUUAGGAAGUGACACACUUUGUCGUUUAGAACAUUACAUGAGGACAAACAAUGAACUAAGUUUGAGGUUGUGAUCGGUCAUCAUUUCUACUGUAUUUUCAUUACUUAUUCGAUAAGAAACCAAGGAUUUUAGAAUACUUUAUUCGCAUUAUGUUACCUUUUAAGUUAGUUUUCAUUUCUGUAAGUUAAUUAAGUGUUUUAUCAAUUUUUAGUUUUAUUUUGUGUUUUCGGGAUUUUAUGUUUUGGUUGUCUGUUUUUAUUCCCUCCAGGUCCAAGUAGAAGAUCCAACGGACUCAAUGCAAGAAAGUCGAGAAUUCCAGUGUUCGAGGAAAGAAGUUAUGAAGUUUCAAGAAGCCUGACACGGCCACCAAUGUCACCUGACACGAGCCGUGUCAGGAUGGGGACCUAAUGAAGCUAAAGAGGAAGGCCUAGGCAGGGGCCUGACACGACCACUUGUGUCAGCCUACCUGGGAUGAAGCUGAAGAUGAGGACCAAGGAGGGGCCUGACACGGCCACCCAUGUCAGCCCAAGGGCAAAAUAUUCCAAUUUUUGGGCUUUUACCCGGACUAGAGCAACAAGGACGUUCUGGGGAUUUCCAACUAUUGCCAAGGGAUUUUACUAUUUUAGAAGAGUUUCUACGAGAGAUAAAGGACACUUUUUAGAGCAAGGAGAAAAUAGAGCACAGAGAAUUGUCAGACGAUCGAGAAUUAUAGAGAUCAAGGAAUUUGGAGAGCGGAAGAUUUUCAUGAGCUGAAGCAAUUGAAGAUCCAAGUCAUCCAAUUACUUGUAAUGUGUAAUUUUUAUCUUCAAUCUAUUUUUAACAAUAUGAGUAGCUAAACCCCCUAAUGCUAGGGGGUGUCCCUAAUUUAGAUCUGUAAUGACUUUGAGUUUGCGAUUGCAUUGAUAAUAUUGUUUUUCAUAAUUACGAUAAUCUUUUGAUGUGUUUAAUGGUUUCUCUUUCGAACCAAUUUAGAUUGUUGUAUGGUUAUCAAUUAUGCUUGACCGCCAUUGAUAAGUUUUUCAUAAAAUUACUCUGCAGUAGAUAUCACCUAGGACUAGGGAUACCUUGUAUGAACCAGAUGAGUCUUGAUAUAAUAAGGUUUAAUUUCACCGGUAAUUUCCUAUGGACAGAGAAAUUAGGGUUGGAUGAUUAAAGGUUUUCUCACCAAGACCUUGGGAGAAAAUACCCUUGAGAACUGGUAGUAGUUAAUUGAUAUUUGUUGAUGCAAUAGUGACUCAGAGUUGUUACAGGGACAAAUUAUACACCUUCCCUGGCAUGUUCCUUUUUCCUUGAAACCCUUAUUUUUACAGUGUUUAUUUUAUUUUCCAUUAUUUUUAUAAGUUUAAAUUAAAAAACCUCAACACUAGUUUUUGUUUAAUUGAACGAUGAUUUGAACUCGAUAUUAUCGCGCAGUCCUUGAGAUUGGAAUUCGAGGAAUUUCCCCUUUAUUACUACAAAAGGCAAAGUAGUACACUUGCUAUUUUUCCGAUCAAGAAUCAUUUGUGUUAUUUACUUUUAGCAGUGCAUUUUAACAUCCUUAUUAUUAUUUUUGUCUGAAGUUCUGAUAUUAGUGUUGUGAUAUUGCAUACAACAUCUGAUAUAUGAAUACUAGAAUUUCAAUUACUUUUGGAGCUAAUUCUUGUCUUAUGACCAUCUCCCCCAAAUUUAGACAAACAAUCUUACCAUAUUUUGUAUUGCCUUGAAUGUUGAUAAGUGUUCCAAUCAAACUAUCACACAUAUUUUUCUCCACAUGCAUCAUAUUAAGAUAAUCUCUUACAUUAAGGCUUGAUCAAUAAGGAAGAUCAAAGAACACUUACCUCUUUUUCCAUAUAUUUUCUCCACAAGCCCUUUUUGGUUAUUUCCAAAGACAACAUUAAUGUGAUUUUGUCAUUUAUAAACUUCCUCCUCAGUUAAGUUCUUUGUAGCAAUACCAAACUAUUAUUCAUCAUUAAAGGUCUUUUGCAAUCUACAAUAUGGAUGGUUGUGUCAUAGAAAACUUUGAUGCCAAAGGUAAAUAUUCUCUUUUCCAUUCUUUAUUUGGUGGAAGCAUAUAUUAGCUUCACAUAUAGGACAUUCUUUAUGUCCCUUAAUGUUGUACCCAACACUACUACAAAUAACACAUGUCCUAUUGGACGCGAAAUGGAAUUCACCUAAGUUACAAUGCCAAGGUAACAAAGGGUGACAUGAAAAGUGGGAACUUUACCCCUCGGUUUAAAAAUAAUCGAGGGGUUAUUUAAACAUUCUCUUUUCCAUUAUUUAAUCAGGAUACAACUCAUAAUCCUCACACAUGUGGAGGAACUUGUUCACGCGAUUUCAGUCCCCCUUUCUCACUUUAUAAAUAAAAACAUCCCUAAUCAUUUGAGAGGAAAGAAACAAUAACAUUGAAUCACUGUUAAAACCAUUCCCCACCUUACUCUGAGCUCAAGAAAAAAAAUCAAAACAUUAUCAUAGCCUCAUGUUAAAGCUCUGAUCAAGGCGAGCUUAGCUUAGCAAAAUACAAUAACACAACCUAUAAAGAAGCGCGAUGCACAAAAGAAGAAGAAGAGUACCAAGAGACAAAAAAUUUACCUGAAGACAGAUCAGAGUUGAAUUCUUUGCAAAUUGUGGGUAGUCCUCUUUCACCUUUACUUUUAUUAUGCAUUUCACUUUGCUUUGUUGCUUUGCCAUGAAUGUAGCUUGUAAAUUGCAUGAUUUAAUCGAUUGUUGUAGCCGAAUCUCUAAUGAAAAAGGGGUUUUGGGGUUAUUGGGAUGAGGAAUUAGGUUUGUGGUUUUUGAUAUUAUGUGUUUACUCCGUUUUACUCUGUUGUUGCAAUUGUUGUCAGCAUGAUUCAUGCUUCCGUUAUGCUUGUUUUUGUGGAGUUUAAUCUGUUAGAUGAGGGCGAUGUAUGUUGUGAAAUCAUGAUUAAGGUGUUGAUUUCAUUGAGAUGAAGUUUGUAGUGGCACUUUUAGGUUUAUUUUGGCAAAAAAAUUGUCUGGUUUAGGAAGAGUUUGAGAACACUUGAAAGAGAUGAGGCGGGGGAAUUAGGUUUUGAAAAUGGAAGGGGAAACCGGAUUCUGGGGUUUUAUGACAAGGGUUUGGCCCAACCCGACUUCAUAUUUGCUUGGCCCAAAUUGAUUCAUCAUGUUGGGUUUUUUAUUUCUUCUAAUUUUUUUUGCUAUGGCAUUACCCCUUUUGUAAUAUACCCCGUUGGCCCAUCAUUGUUUUGUUUUACUAUUUAUAUUCUUGGUUUAUUGUUUGCACCUAUUAUUAUGAAAGUGAAUUACAAAUAUAUUAAACACUUUCAAAAAAAAAAAGAAAAAAAAAUUAGAGUUUUUAUCAUAUUCAAUUCUUUUUUUCCUUUUAUUUGUUCUUUUUUCUUUAUCAUAAAGGAAAUACAAAAAUAUUAAAUACUGUUAGAUGGAUGAUUUAGAUUUCCCUUACCAAAUAAAGUUUCAAAACUACUUAGAAAUAAUUUUGACUCUUUGUUUGCUUGACUUGUUUAGUCUUUGGUGUUUGUGUAAAUACUUGCUUGUGUGUUUAUCCAUGAUUUAUUUAGUCUUGUAUUUUUCAUAAUUCAUUCAAACGUAAAUCAAAUGUUUGACCCAACAUCAAGCACUUUUCAUAAUCAAACUAAAAAGCAUUUACUCCAUACUUUGACCUUUUCAUAAUAAAUAGAGAAAAUGGCUACCUGGGUGAAAGAUCCAGUCAUAGCUCCGAUGUAUUAGGCCCAAGUAGUAAUUGCUUGCAAGUCAUAAAUACUUUGUCCUUCUCUAAAAAUACAAACACGUCACAACUUCAUAAUAAAUCAAAAGAAAAAGGCUACAUGGGUGAAAGGUCCAGUAAUAGUCCCAAACACCAAGCCCGAGUAGUAAUUGCUUGCAAGGUCAAGUGUUUAUCUUUCAUUAAAAAUACUUAUAACUACUCAAACACUUUCACAACAAAUUAAAAAGAAAAAGACUACCUGGAUGAAAGUUCCAGUCAUAAUCCUGACUAUUAGAACCAAGUAGUAAUUGCUUGCAAGUCAUGAAUAUUCGUCUUCCAAACCCUAAAACACACUUAAACAAAUAAAACCUAUCUUUUCUCGCCCCGUGCGAUCGAAACCCUUUUCAGAAAGAACAUUGUUUAGUCUGUUCUAAUGCGAAUGCAAACUAGAGCUUAAGCCUCCACCACGAGUAGACAAGCCAACAUUUAACCGUUAGAGCGCAAUCUAAACAAACCAACCAACAAAAACGUAGCCUUUCCCGAACUAAGAAGCUUUGAGUUCCUCAUUGUACCCGAGGAUACGUAGGAGCGAGAUCUUCAAUCUCAUUAAGCACCCUAUUAAAAAAAUUGAGACCCCUUUUCUUUUUUAUUUUGUACAUUUUAUCAUUCGAAGAAAACAAUUAACGAUGGCUAACAUUCAAUCGCAAAUCUAACUAAAAGGUUCUCGUUGAAUACAACAGACAUGAUGAGUGUUAAUGCUUUUCCCUUGCGUAAUCGACUCCCGAACCUGAAUAUGGUUGUCGUGACCAUUUUCUUUCUUAAAGGUUUUAUCAAUAUUUUCCCUUUCCUUCAUUGGAAUAAAUAAAUUUAUGUGGCGACUUUGUUCAAAUCAUUUUUUUCGCGACCAUCGCAAAGGAUUAUAAUUUUUGAGAUGCAACUAAGACAACAUGAGAAUCAUCAAAAUAGACGGAUAACACAUGCAUCUCCCAAUGUAGGGUGCCUAGUCACCCAUUCAUCAUAAUACACACCCAUUAUCUCUAUAAUUCGUCCUUUGAUUAAUCACUCGUCUUAUGGGUGGAUCGGACUCUGAAGGUGGUUCAAGCUAUGAAGGUGGAGCUUCUAAAGGUGAUCGUUCUUAUGAAGGGUUUUAAAGGCCAUAAAGAGUUAGACAGAUACCAAGGAGAUUUGCAGAUUUUGGAGUUGCUGCAAGUUGCUGAGAUUGAUUCUGAAGGAGAGGUCAUACAGAGUGCCAUGAUAGUGGAGUAUAAGCCUAUCAUAAUCAUUGAGGCUCUCAAGAAGAAGGUGUAGGUGAACUCCAUUAAGGAAGAGCUUGAGGCCAUUGAAAGAAACAAGACAUGGAAAUUGAUUGUUCUACCUCAGAACAAGAAAGUCAUCAAUGUGAUAUGGGUUUUCAAGAUAAAAUUGAAGCCAGAUGGUUCAGUUGCUAAGUAUAAAUCAAGGUUAUUAGCUAGAGGAUUCCUACAAAAUUCUAGUUUAUACUAUUUUGAAGUGUUUGCACCUAUAGUCAGACAUGAAACCAUAAGGUUGGUUAUUGCUAUAGUUGCAAAUAGGAAUUAGCCUAUAAUACACUUAGAUGUAAAUUUAGAUUUUCUAAAUGGUCCAUUGCAAGAAUAAGUUUAUGUGUUACAACCUCCUGAAUUUGUGAAAGAGAACAAAGAAGGGAUGAUGUAUAAGCACAUAAAGCUUUGUACGGGCUGAAACAAGUUUCAAGGGCUUGGAAUCUAAAGAUUGAUUCAUUUUUCAAGCAUCUAGGAUCCAAGAAAUGUGAAAUGGAAUUAAUAUAAUGUGUAUGUGCAGCAUACUUCUGAAAGUAAUAUGAUUCAGACGUUUCUUUAUGUGGAUGACAUACUUUUGACAGAGAGUUGUAUUUCUGAGAUAAACAAGUUCAAGAAGGUGCUGAUGAAUGCAUUUAGUAUGAAUGGCCUUAGAAAUAUGAUAUAUUUUCUAGGGAUGGAGAUUUUACAUUUUGAGAAGGGAAUUAUUGUGCAUCAACUGAAGUAUGAACUUGAUUUGCUGACGCGAUUUGAGUUGAUGAAUUGUAAGUCAACAGUCAACCCUAAUGAGACAAAUCAUAAACUGGACUCUGGUGAUGAUGGUGAGAAUGUAGAUGCUACAACAUUCAAACAGUUAGUUGGUUUUUUUAGAUAUCUGUCUAAAACCAGGCUUAACAUAUGUUAUACAGUUGAAAUGGUGAGUAAGUUUAUGAGUAAAGCAAAGUGGUCAUAUUACCAAGCUGUAGUCAGAAUUCUGAGAUAUGUAAAAGAAUCUUUGAGGCAUGAAAUUUUGUUUCAUCUGGAGAAUCAGAUAAUGUUGAUCUGAUAUGCUACUCAGACUCUGACUGGUGUGGUGACAAAAUGAACAAAAGAAACACUACAUGAUACACGUUUAUGUAUCUAGGGGCUCCUAUUUUUUGGUGUUACAAGAAGCAAUCAGUUGUUGCAUUGUCAAUUUGUGAAGCUAAAUAUAUAGCUGGUGUUUUGUCAAUCUACCAUAAAUCUUGCUAAGAAUUCAAUGUUGCAUGGAAGAAUACAAUCAGAUUCAUAAUGAAAUAUUUGAGGUUGUUCAUAUCAACACUCAUGGGCAACUUCCAGAUGUGCUGACCAAGACAAUCAAAAUUGAACACUUUAUUAAUUUAAAAGAUAAAAUUGAUGUUGUUGAUAGUUAAACUUAAAUGGGAAUUGUUCAAGUUAUUUUAGUUUUGAAUUUCAUUUGCUUUUAAAUUUCAUAUGUGAAUUUGAUUGUUUGUAUAAACUCAAAUUUAAUUAUAUUUAUAAUAGAUUUUAGUUUUGCAAUUUCGAGCAAUUUUAAGAUUAGAAAAUUUAUUUUUUUCAAUUCUCUGCUCCACCACUGUUGUUCAUCUUCUUGUAUAUUAAUUAAUAGAAAUUCAGUGUUAACUCUAACCAAAACUGGAAAAGAAAUAUGAAAGACAAAAUUUCUCUUAAAGAAAAUAGUGUAUUCUCUGCCACCACUGUUCUUCAUCUUCUUGUAUAUUAUUAAUUCUAACCCAAACCGGUGUGAUUAUGAAAAGAAAUAUGAAAGACAAAAUUUCUCUUAAAAGAAAUUGGCCUUUGAAAAAAAGAUAGUGUGAUGUAUUUAUCUUCAUUAUCAUAAAAGUUAUUAUCAAUAGAGUAAUAUUAUUUCUACAUCAAUUUUUUACACUAAUAUUUAUAUCAAAUAUUAUUCACCAUACAAUAGUAUUUUUUUAAAUAAAAUAAUAUUAAACUUAUUUUAAAUUAAAAAUAUUUUUUAAAAUUAAUUUUAUAAUAUAAUAUUUAUCAUUAAUCAAUUUUAAUAAAAAUACAUGUUAUUAAUUGCAUAUUUUCUGAUAACUUAUUAAUCAAUUUCAUUAUUUUAUUAAUUAAUAAAAUAUUUAAUAUUAAUCAAAUUCUAAUAUUAGUUUAUUAUUUAAUUAAUGAAUUUUAAAAAUUAGAAAAAAUAAAUAAUAAAAUAAAUUGGUUAAUAUUAUACAAUUUUAUAAACUAGUAACUACAUAAUAUUAAGCAAUUUUAUUUAGUAUUUAUUAUUUUUAAAUUUUCAAAAUUUAUUAAUCAAAUUAUAAAUUAAUGUUACAACUGGAUUAAUACUAUGUAUUUUAUUGGUUAAAGAAAUAAUAAAAUUAAUUAAUAAAUUAUUUAGAAAAUAUAUGGUUAAUAAUAUAUAUUUUUAUGGUUAAUAAAAUAAUAAAAUUGAUUAAUAAUAAAUGUUAUGUUUUUAUUACAAAAUUAAUUUUUUUUUAAUAUAUUUUUAGAAAUAAAAUUUUAAUAUUAUUAUUUGAUGUAGAUAUUGGGGUAGAAAAUGGAGUGUAGGAAUAACCUUACUCUUAUCAAUAUACACGGUGAUCGGUCCUGAAUCAAGGAAAAGUAAUACAAUAUCUCUCGUAUAGAGGAGGAAACAUAUAAGCUUAUAGAGGAGGAAACAUAUAAGCUUAUUGAAACACUACUUUUAUUUUCUAUAUACUAUAUGAUUACACGUACGUACACACACAAAAUCAUAGUCAUCAUCAUGUACAUACACGAGUGACCAAUCACAAUAUAGAGGAGGAAACAUAUAAGCUUAUUGAAACACUACUUUUAUUUUCUAUAUACUAUAUGAUUACACGUACGUACACACACAAAAUCAUAGUCAUCAUCAUGUACAUACACGAGUGACCAAUCACAUAAACAAAUAAUGACUAAUAAAUAAAUCGAAUUCCUAACCGCCUAAAGCAAGAAUUCAAUAAAAUAAAAUAAAAAUAUUUAUAGACAGACACGUCUAAGCUAAAACCAUGGAGACGAAUAUUCCAGCAAGAGAAGUAAUGGCAACAAAGGUAUUUGUGAUAGAGAAUGCAGCUGAGGGUGCCUCAGCUUCUCCUGGGUUUGAUGCUGGGCCAUUUGUUCCUGGUGCUGGUGGAGAAGAAGUGUUUGGAAUUGGUGAUGAAGGAGAUGGUGAUGGAGAAGAAGUAGUUGUAGGAGAGGGUGCUGGAGAAGUCUUUGUGGAGGGUGAUGGAGCAGGUGCUGAAUUGGGUGAUAAUGAUCGGGUAGGUGCGGGUGCAGGAGCCUGUUGUGCUAUGCAUGAAGUAGCCAACAACCCCAAUAUCACAAACACUUUGAUUGCAACAGAACCCAUGUUUUUAUAUGUUUUUUUGAUAGAGAAGAAUGUUUAGUGAAAUAUGAUUGAAUCAAUUAUAGAGAAGAAUGGACUAAGGUUAUUGAUUUGUGUUGUCCAAAAUAUAUAGUGAAAAAUAAAUAUGAUACUGGUGGUGUGUAUUUCAGCAAAGGCGGUUUGUGAUUAAUAAUGCUCUAUGAACAAGUAAUCAUUAAAAAGGUACUGAGAUCACUUAAUCCUCAGUUUGAUUACAUAGUUGUAACCAUAUAACACUUUAAAGAUACCAACAUCAUAAGAAUUGAAGAGCUUCAGAGUAGUUUGAAGGCACAAGAGUUGCGUAUGACUGAAAGAAACUCUGAACAAGUUAGAACAUGCUCUGAAAUCUCAGACUCUAAAAGCUUCUUAUGGAAAGAAGAACCAGAAGCAAACAUGGUUAGAGAAUAAGAAGAAUCUGCCUAAGAAAUUGUGGGGUGAUGAAAUUUCUACUUCAGUAUAUGUGCUCAAUAGAUGUCCAAUAAAGAAGUUAAAGGAAAUAGUUUUUAUUGAGAAGUGAACUGGAAGAAAGCAAAGUGUUAGCCAUUUUAAGGUAUUUGGUUCAAUAUGUUACACACAUAUACCAGAUGCUACUAGAAGGAAGUUGGAUGACAAAAACAAGGUUAUGUUGCUUAUAGUUUACCAUAGUACAUGUACUUAUAAGCUCAAUUGCCAAGUCACCAACAAAGUUGAAGUCAAUAGAGAUGUCAUAGUCAAAUAAUCAUAAACAUGGGAUUGGAGCAAGUCUCAAUCCAACUAUAGUGUAGUGUCAUCGCUAGAGUCUGAUUCUUCCUCUGAAGGAGAUUCUGUCUCUGAAGGUGAUUCUAAGAUGACUUUAAAUCUGAAAGUGAGUUUGGCUCUGCAGAUGACUUUGACUUUGAAGGUGACUCUGAUGGUGGAUCGGACUCUGAAGGUGGUUCAAGCUAUGAAGGUGGAGCUUCUAAAGGUGAUCGUUCUUAUGAAGGGUUUCAGAGGCCAUAAAGAGUUAGACAGAUACCAAGGAGAUUUGCAGAUUUUGGAGUUGCUGCAAUUUGUUGAGAUUGAUUUUGAAGGAGAGGUCAUACAGAGUGCUAUGAUAGUGGAGUAUAGGCCUAUCAUAAUCAUUGAGGCUCUCAAGAAGAAGGUGUAGGUGAACGCCAUUAAGGAAGAGCUUGAGGCCAUUGAAAGAAACAAGACAUGAAAAUUGAUUGUUCUACCUCAGAACAAGAAAGUCAUCAAUGUGAUAUGAGUUUUCAAGAUAAAAUUGAAGCCAGGUGGUUCAGCUGCUAAGUAUAAAUCAAGGUUAUUAGCUAGAGGAUUCCUACAAAGUUCUAGUUUAUACUAUUUUAAGUGUUUGCACCUGUAGUCAGACAUGAAAUCAUAAGGUUGGUUAUUGCUGUAGUUGCAAAUAGGAAUUAGCCUAUAAUACACUUAGAUGGUAAUUUAGAUUUUCUAAAUGGUCCAUUGCAAGAAGAAGUUUAUGUGUUACAACCUCCUAAAUUUGUGAAAGAGAACAAAGAAGGGAUGGUGUAUAAGCACAUAAAGCUUUAUACGGGCUGAAACAAGUUCCAAGGGCUUGGAAUCUAAAGAUUGAUUCAUUUUUCAAGCAUCUAGGAUCCAAGAAAUGUGAAAUGGAAUAUAAUGUGUAUGUGCAACAUACUUAUGAAAGUAAUAUGAUUCUGACGUUUCUUUAUGUGGAUGACAUAUUUUUGACAGAGAGUUGUAAUUCUGAGAUAAACAAGUUUAAGAAGGUGCUGAUGAAUGCAUUUAGUAUGACUGGCCUUAGAAAUAUGAUAUAUUUUCUAGGGAUGGAGAUUUUGCAUUCUGAGAAGGGAAUUAUUGUGCGUCAACUGAAGUAUGAACUUGAGUUGCUGACGCGAUUUGAGUUGAUGAAUUGUAAGUCAACAGUCAACCCUGAUGAGACAAAUCAUAAGUUGGACUAUGAUGAUGAUGGUGAGAAUGUAGAUGCUACAACAUUCAAACAGUUAGUUGGUUUUUUGAGAUAUCUGUCUAACACCAGGCUUAACAUAUGUUAUACAUUUAAAAUGGUGAGUAAGUUUAUGAGUAAAGCAAAGUGGUCAUAUUAUCAGGCUGUAGUCAGAAUUCUGAGAUAUGUAAAAGAAACUCUGAGGCAUAAAAUUUUGUUUCAUCUAGAGAAUCAGAUAAUGUUGAUCUGAUAUGCUACUCAGACUCUGACUGGUGUGGUGACAAAAUGGACAAAAGAAAAACUACAUGAUACACGUUUAUGUAUUUAGGGACUCCUAUUUCUUGGUGUUACAGGAAGCAAUCAGCUGUUACAUUGUCAAUUUGUGAAGCUAAAUAUAUAGUUGGUGCUUUGUCAAUCUAUCAUAAAUCUUACUAAGAAUCCAGUGUUGCAUGGAAGAAGCAAACACAUUGAUAUCAUUUUCUACACAACCAGGUUGAUAAUGAAAUAUUUGAGAUUGUUCAUAUCAACACUCAUGAGCAACUUACAGAUGUGCUGACCAAGACGAUCAAAACCGAACAUUUUAUUAAUUUAAAGGAUAAAAUUGAUGUUGUUGAUAGUUAAACUUAAAUGGGAAUUGUUCAAGUUAUUUUUGAAUUUCAUUUGCUUUUAAAUUUCAUAUGAAUUUGAGUUGAAUUUGAUUGUUUGUAUAAACUCAAAUUUAAUUAUAUUUAUAACAGAUUUUAGUUUUGCAAUUUCGAGCAAUUUCAAGAUUGGAAUUUUUUUUUUUUCAAUUCUCUGCUCCACCACUGUUGUUCAUCUUGUAUAUUACUCCCUCCGUUUCUUUUUAAGUGUCGUUUUAGAAGAUUUUUUUUGUUCCUAUUUAAGUGUCGUUUUGAUGUUUUAAUGUUACAAUUUGUCAAUUAUACCCUUACUAUUUAAAUUAAUCAAACUUUGAUAUUUUCCAUAAAUUUUUCUUUCUUAUAUAUGUAAUAACUCACUCCACAUUUUCCAUAAAAUUCUCUUUCUUAUACGUACUCUCAUUCCCAUACAUAACUCCCAUUCCUAUUCAAAGUAUUGUCUGGUCAAUAAAAAUUAAAUUCAAAUGAUAGCUUCCAAUGUUACAUAGAAAAAUGUAUUAGCAUUAAAUUUUGUCAAAGGAACAAAUUUACCAAUUGAAGACUUAAAAUUCUAUAAAAAGGAUCAGUAGCAUUGUUUAAAUUAUCAAAGUGCAAAACAAAAGAGCUCUGGUGGAAACAACAAAAGACUCCAUGGAUGUUCAAAAAAAGAAAGAGUGGGAAGACACAUGAAAUUAAAAAAAUAUACCUGUGUCAUUGUUGUUUCAACCUCCUCUUGUAAGUUAUCUUCACAGGACUCAUCAAUAUUAUUGGUUGCUUCAAACUCCUCUUCUAAGUUAUCUUCAUCAAACUCAUAUAACUCAAAUAUAUGUUGGUUUGUUAAUGAUGUUUCUGUAUCACUAUCUAAAUCCAUAUUUUAUGAGUUGUAAAUAUUUUGAACUUAUAUAUGAAACCAUACUAUAUGUUACACUGGUUUUAAUUUUUCGUGGGAAACUUAAGUUUUUAUUAAAUAAUGGAGGGAUAUUUUUUCCUUUAGCCAUUCAUUGAAACAAUAAGCAAUAAGUUUUCCUUUAGCCAUUAAUGAAAAUGCAAGCGUACGUAUCCUAUAGCAAGCAAUAUUAAUUCCAAAAAUUUAGGGGUAGUUGAAAAUGCAACGGAGAGAGAGAGGAGUUAUGUGGAGAAAAUUAUGGAAUAGUUAUUUGAAGUAAAUAAUUUAAUGAGUACUGUAUAGUUAAUGAAUUUUAUUUAGAAAGAGAAAGUAUAUGGUGGAUUAAAAUGAGGGUACAAUGGGAAAAAAAUUAUAACAAUUCAUUUAUCUUGGUUGGAGAGCUUUAUGCUAAAACGACACUUAAAAAGAAACGGAGGGAGUAAUUAAUAGAAAUUCAGUGUUAACUCUAAUCAAAAACUGAAAAAAAAUAUGAAAGACAAAAUUUCUCUUGAAAAAAAUAGUGUAUUCUCUGCCACCACUGUUCUUCAUCUUGUAUAUUAUUAAUGAAAAUUCACUGACUCUAACCCAAACUGGUGUGAUUAUGAAAAGAAAUAUGGAAGACAAAAUUUUUCUUAAAAAAAUAUUGGCCUUUUGAAAAAAAAUAGUGUGAUGUAUUUAUCAUCAUUAUCAUAAAAGUUAUUAUCAAUAUACACGGUGAUCGGUCCUGAAUCAAGGAAAAGUAAUACAAUAUCUCUCGUAUAGAGGAAUCAUAUAGGCUUAUUGAAACAACUAAUUUUAUUUAGUAUAUACUAUAUGAUUACACGUACGUAUACACACAGAAUCAUAGUCGUGAUAAAUUACAGAAACAAAUAACGACUAAUAAAUAAAUCGAAUUCCUAACCGCCUAAAGCAAGAAUUCAAUAAAAUAAAAAAUAUAUAUUUAUAGACAGACACGUCUAAGCUAAAACCAUGGAGACGAAGAUUCCAGCAAAAGAAGUAACGGCAACAAAGGUAUUUGUGAUAGAGAAUGCAGCUGAGGGUGCCUCAGCUUCUCCUGCUGGGCCAUUUGUUCCUGGUGCUGGUGGAGAAGAAGUGUUUGGGGUUGGUGAUGAAGGAGAUGGUGAUGGAGAAGAAGUGGUUGAUGGAGAGGGUGCUGGAGAAGUCUUUGUGGAGGGUGAUGGAGCAGGUGCUGAAUUGGGUGAUAAUGAUCGGGUAGGUGCGGGUGCAGGAGCUUGUUGUGCUAUGCAUGAAGUAGCCAACAACCCCAAUAUCAGAAACACUUUGAUUGCAACAGAACCCAUGUUUUUAUAUGUUUUUUUGAUAGAGAAGAAUGUUUAGUGAAAUAUGAUUGAAUCAAUUAUAGAGAAGAAUGGACUAAGGUUAUUGAUUUGUGUUGUCCAAAAAACACUUUGAUUGCAACAGAACCCAUGUUUUUAUAUGUUUUUUUGAUAGAGAAGAAUGUUUAGUGAAAUAUGAUUGAAUCAAUUAUAGAGAAGAAUGGACUAAGGUUAUUGAUUUGUGUUGUCCAAGUGCAUAACUUGUGUAUAUAUAUAUAUAGUGAAAAAUAAAUAUGAUACUGGUGGUGUGUAUUUCAGCAAAGGCGGUUUGUGAUUAAUAAUGGGUCAAAUAAAAAAGAUACUACUUUUCCUUAUUUGUUAAAAAAAAAUCUUUAAUAUUUUUUUUGCAAGUUAAGUAAUACGAAAAGCUGGUACCUUUGGUAUAACCGCGUUUAACCCUUCUCGCUUUGAUUUUUUCUACCGCUGUUUCUAGAUUACCGAAUAUUCAAAGGUUGAUUUGUUCACGUAAGAGUUAUGGAAACUGAUAGGUUGAUAAGGUUCAAACGCGGUUUCUCUUUAUCACAAAAGUUCAAUAUUUUAAAUCGGCGACCAUUAUAUAAGGUCAAUUAAGCGAUAAGUCAAUAAUUUAUUGAUGUUGAAGAUUCUUUUAGUUAACUUUCUUUAAUUUCUCCGCAAUUUGCAUUUUGAUUUUGAUAUUAAUGUUUUUCUUAAUUUAAUUCUAGUAUGAGUCUAUAAUUUUAGGUCAGUACUGUUUUAAAAACUGGAUUGAAAGAUAAGUCGGCAAAAUAUUUAUUUAAGAUUCAAUUGGUUAAAAAUAAGUUUAUCAAAACAUCAAAUCGUAUAAAAUGUUUUAAGGUUUCCUCGCUACAAAUAAAUAAAUUUGUUUCCAUAUAAUAAUGGACAAGAGUAGUUAUGUUUUUAAAAUGAUAUAAAAACUUUAUUAUUAAAUUAUCUAAUUUAUAAUCUUUUAACUUUUUAAUAUAUAUAUUAAAAUUUUAUUUAAAAAUUAUCAAUAAUUAAAAUAACUAAAAAUAUUUAAAUAUUACAAAUCUCUUUUUUUUAUGUUUAAAAUAUGCGGUUUACUCUAUAAUUUAAUUAUUAAUUCUAAUUUUUAUAUAAAAAGGUAUACAAAAUUUCAGAAUUAAGAGUAAUCGGUCAAUAUAUUAGGUAAAUCUAAGAUUUCAUUUUAAUAUAAUAAUAAUAAUAAUAAUAAUAAUAAUAAUAAUAAUAAUAUUUAUAUAUUUUUAUGUAUUGAUAUACAAAAUCUAUUUUCAUUAAUCAAAUCAAUAAAGAACAACCAAAAAGACUAAUAAUAGUUUUACUUUGAUUUUUUUUAUGUGAUUUAGAUAUUUUGUGUUUUCCUACUUCGGAGGAAAUGAUCUCAUAUAUUUAGUAGAGAUUAUAGUAGAAUGUCUUUGGGCCAGUUUGUUUUAGCUUUAGAAAAAUAGAUUUUUUUUUUGUAUUUUUGAAAAUGAAUUUUACAAAAUUAUUUUUCAAAAUAUUAUAAGUUUUUCUAAAUUUACUUUUUAUAAAUUAAAAAACUAAUUUUGAUAUACUAUGACAUAAACCUACAUUAUUGAAGAUCAAAGUAUAGUCAAAAUCAUUUUUUUUUCAAAAAUAUCUAUUUUUAAAAUGAUUUUUAUGAAAAGCUAUUUGAAAUAGUUUCAAAAUUAAGUGAUUUUUUAGAAUUUUGAUAUCCAAAUUUUUUUUCAAUAAAAUGAUGAAAUAUCUAAAAUAACAUUUUAAGAAUAACGAUUCAAACCAAAUUUUCAUUUGAAACUUUUAUGAAAAAUUUCUUUUUAAAAUUUUUUUACAUCAAAAUAUGUUACACUAUAAAAAUCAUUUUAAAAAAAACCAGAAUAAACGGGUCCUUUAUCAGCUAUGGACACGUGUUUCUUCGGAAAUUGUUGGGAAAUCUUUUAGAGCGUUAAAUAAUCAUUUGAACAAUUGUCAUUGUAUAUGAUCCUAUGAGGAAUCACCAUGUGGAAGAGUUUUUAAAGAAUCAUCUUCCGAAAUGAUUUUUUAUGAUUCAUCGUCGAGAAGAUUGCUUGGAGAAUUGUUGUAUCAAGAGUUUAUUACAACGUACGAGAACUUGGUAGAAUCACAUAAAACAACAAAUGAAGAAUCAAUUGUAGAAAUUUCAAAUUCAUCAAUCAGGGAUGGAUUCAUAUAGAGAUGACAACUAAGAUUUAAUCAAAGCUUAGUCAAGAGAUUCUCAUGAAGCAUCUCCGAGAAUAUUAUUAAAGAAAUCAUAUUUUAUUUCUAAAAGAGAAUCAAGAAAAAUGCUUGGAAUUGAAUUAGGUAAACGAAAAAGGCAACCUCUAAAUUCUAUGAAAUGUGAAACUUAUGAUUCUUUGAAAAAUAAAAUCAGUAGACUACAUGAUACCUUAGGUAAAUUCACUGAGGGAAGAGAAAAUCUAUAUUUAACUUUAUAUAAUCAAAUGGCUUUGUAUAAGAAAAGUGGAUUAUAUUAUCAACCUAAUAAAAAAAUUAUUAGUAAAUGUCAUGCCAAGAAGAAGACCAUUCGUCCUAUUUUUAAAUGCAACUAUUGUCAUAAGCUUUGUAAUCUUGAACAUUUGUGUUUUUAUGAAAUUCGUGAUUUAAGAUGGUCUAAGGGGUAUGACUCAAGACAUCUUAAACCUACUAACACAUAAGGACGCAAAAAUAUUUGGAUACCAAAGAUGAAUACUUAAUUUAUUUUGUAUGAAUGCUUUACAACUUUAAAGGGGCGGAUAUACAAGUUAAAAAAAGUCAUGGAAAGCAAGAGUUUGAAGAUUCCACCAAAAAAAGAUGAUUUUGAUAGUAUUUAUUGUUAAAGAAUCAUGUGGAAGUAUUUUGAUGAAAGGUCUUUAAGAGAUAUCUCUCCAAAGAAGAAAUGAUAUUCUAGAUAACCUCUCCUAUCAAGAAAUUCAGAUAGAUGCAAUUUUUUCCAACUUUGUUCCUUCUUUUAAAACGGGAAAUUAUUUCAAAGUUCUUUGUACUUUUAAGCUAAAACACUUGAUGUAUAUUUUAAUUAGAGACUAAAACCAUAAUCGUUAACAUCAUGUGGUUCUCCAAAGGCUUCUUGUCUAGAGUCUUUUCUGUUACAAGAUCCUUUUUCACCAAAGGUUUAUUUUCCAAAGAUUGUUGACAUAUGACUUUUUUUUCAAGAGGAUGUUAAUGCUGGAUUUCCAUUAUCUUGAUAGUUGCAAUUUAUUCAACUAGUUUUGAUGUAUCAUUGUCAAACUCUUUCUACUCAAGCCUUACAUGUAUUGAUUCUUCAACAAUCAAAAUUUUACUAUUAUAUACCUUGUAAGUUCUAGAGCAUAUAUAAUAUCUUAACAAAAAACACUUUUCUGCCUCUAAAUCGAACUUGUUAAGGUGAUCUUUGGUGUUUAGAAAUAACAAGUAUAAUAAAAAUGAUGGAAAUAUGACAAUAUUAAUUUUUCUACCUUUCCAUAAUUACAAGGAGUUUUAUUCAAUAUUGGUUUAAUAUAUUUUCUAUUUUCCAUGUAACAUGUUGUAUUUAUUGUUUCUUCUUUUUGUAUAAACUUAAGCAUACAAAACAAGACAUUUCUUUGCGAUUUAGGGAUUAUACACAUUGUUGUUUCUUUUUGAAUUGGAUGAAUUAUUCAAAAUAACACGGAGUACGUUCAAGUUGUUCUAGUGCAAAAGGGACACAUGUGGAACACGAUGUUCCAACAUAUGUGUAGCAACAUCUAGUAUCUGACAAUAGACAUAUGUUAUUGCAGUUAUGUUUCAGAUUUAAUCCAAAAUUUAUUCUUCAAAGAAGAUUUAUAUGAAGAAAGUUCAUUUGAAUAUUUUGGUGCAACAUGUGGAACAUGAUGUUCCAAUAUAUGUGCAGUGCAACAUUCGGUCCUGGUCAGUGCAACAUGAUGUUCCAAUAUAUGUUCCAAUCAGAUUUAUUGCAAAUUGUUUACCAAUGUUUGUGUGAUUUUUUUGACAAUUGUUGAAGAUCAAAUAAGAUAUAAAUGGAGAUUUUUAAAUUUGAAUUUGAAAUAUAACAAAGCAUAUAUUUUGUUGCAAAUAUUUAUGGAGAAAAUCAAAUCCAACAUGUUCAACUAUUAUGUUGGACGAAAUUAAAUUAGAGAUACAAAGGAGAAAAUCCCAUAAUGCAUUGAUAUUUAAGGAGACUCAAAUCUCAUGUUUGAAACAACUUUCUUGCCCUAUGACUAAGUUAUUUAUUCUAGGGUUUUUGAGUCUUUUUUUAUUUGUAUUCCACGCUAAUACUAUCACUCAUAUCAUAAGGAUUAGUGUUGGGUCUUGUUUGUGUACACUGUAACACCCCGAUAAAAUAUGAUAAUUAUUUAAUUUAAGUUUAAUAGUAUAUUAUGAUGAUAAUAUGAAUGAGAGGGUAUUAUUUAGAUAAACCAUUCAUAUAUAUUAUUAUUAGUAUAUUUAUUAAUUUAAUUAAAUAAUUGGAAUAUUAUUGGAUUAUUAUUAUUGGAAUUAUAAGUUGGAAUCAGUAAAGAGUCCCAAUUAGAAAAGGGUUUUUCACGUGAAAACAGAGAAGCGACUGGAAAGUGGAGAAAGGGAGAAGAAGAGGCUAGGGCUCAGGAGGAGAAUUCUCGAUUGUUGAAGGUCAAAGAAUCAAUUGCCGGAUUAACUCAGGUAAGGGGGGUUUAUCGUCGUUUAAUGGGCAUUAUGGGUUAACAUGUAAUGGGUAGUAAUAAGCCAUUGAAUUGACUCUAAUCAGGAUGAUGAAUGCUGCAAAUUGUGAACUUAUGGAUGAAUGAGAUAUGGGUUUAUAAUUGAAGAAAAUUCGUAGGAAUUAGAUGUAAUAAGGUUAGAAAUUGUGAAAUUGAAUGGGUAUGAUCUGUGUUAGAUAAUAUGAACGAAUGCUGUGUAAAAAUUGGACUGUGGAAGGUUGGAUUUGAGAAAUCUCGUAGCAGAGAAAAACCCAUAGCAGAUCUGGAAUUUUGGUUUCUGGUCAUACGCGUAUGACACUAGGCCAUACGCGUAUGAGAUGGCCUGGAGGGGAGGAGACUGGUGCUGAUACGCGCCAUACGCGUGUACUUACGCGUAGCCUGUGAGUGGUACGCGUAUGGGGUGAGGCCAUACGCGUAUGAAUGAAGAAGAUGAUGUUCUAACGUAGUUUUGUCUCUGUUGGUACGCGUAUGGGAGAAGUGGUACGCGUAUCAUACGCGUAUGAGACAGGCCAUACGCGUAUGGGCUUGGCUAGGAAAUGUGCCAUACGCGUAUGGGCAUGAGGCAUACGUGUAUGGGCAGAAGUUUGAUUUUUCUGAGCUGUUGUUGUGCAGUUUUGGUCGUUUCAGCUGAGUGAUGUAAUUUAGCUGAUGUAUGAUAUAGUAGGGAUCAUUUCCCGUUGUUUUGAGCAGUAUAGGUAUUAGUAGAGUGUGCUAAUACUGUGAUUUAUUAUUUGGCAUGACAUGAUAUGAUUCUGUGAUAAAUAUGCUGAUGAUGUAUGAUGGUAUGCAUAAUGCUGUGAAUAUAUCUAUUAUGUAUGCAAUUGUGGAUGGACUGUUUAUGGCUUAGAGUGUGAGCAUAUGUCCAUUGUGGAUUGUUGUUGAUGUUUGCAUGCUAGGUGAUUUAGCGUGCAUAGCAUAGCCUUUAGGGUGGUAGCUAAUUCCCAUGGUGAGGAAUUAGUGAGUGAGUCACUAGGUCUCAAAUGAGUGGGACUAGUGAGCUUGGUAGCCGUAUCUGGGUUUGAUCGGUGAGGUUGAACUAUGUGUUCACGAAUAGUCGGUACCGCAUGCAUGGAGUCUCAUUGCAUAAUGUAUGUAUGGUGUAUAAUAUGAAUGGAUGUAUUCCAAUAUUAUACGUGUGUUUUGUGUUGUGUUGAGUAUGAUUUGAGUUGAUGUUGCCGUUGCUGAAUGUGUGAUCUGAUUAGGGUGAUGAAUGUGUUAAUUUACUUAGCAUUACAUGAUAUUUUAUAAUGCUUAUUCUAUCGAUUGAGGAACUCACCCUUACAACUAUGUUUCAGGUAACGAGCAGUGAUUGAGUAGAAGCUAGUGCUUGGAGUCUAGUGUAGUUCCUUAGUGAGUCAUGCUCUGGUAUAUGUAACAUCGGGACCGGAUGUUUUACUUUGUUUUCAUUGUUGGUUGUUAAACAAUUUUACAUGUAAGGUGUUACAUGGUUCGAAUGUUGUUAGAUUUCUAUCCGCUGCGAAUUGUGCAAUGUUUUAUUUUGAUUAAUAAAUGAGCAUGACCAGUUAUUUGAUGAACGGUGUGAAGUGUAAAGUGUGACACCCUGAAAUUGCAUAUCUACUCUGAUUUAUAUUUUGUUGUUUUAAUUAAUUAUUGGGGUAUUUUAGAAGGGUGUUAAAUUAGUGGUAUCAGAGCAUAGUCGGUCGAGUCGAGUCGUAAUUAUUCUGUUUCCCUGUAUGUGAUAGGUGUUGUGUAACCCUAUCAGUACUUAUUGUUUUAGCUUGUUGGGUUUUCAGAAUAGAGAUGGCUGGAAGAGGUAGAGACGAUGCUGNUGAAAAGUUAUUUUGGUGGCCGGGAAUGAAAAGAGAAAUUGCCGAGUUUCUGUUUAUUCUUGUUUUGACAUUGUCAGAAGUCAAAGAUGAGCAUCAGAAGCCGUAUGGGCUAAUUGCAACCGUUGGCAUUCCAGAGUGGAACGUGGGAUAGUAUCAGUUAUGGCGUUUUGUUUCGGUUUAUCCGAGGGACCCAAUUAAGAAUUUUUGAAGCUGUAUUUGGGUGAUUGUUGACAGAUUGAAAGAAAUCGGCUCAUUUCAUUCCGAUCAGACUGGGAUUAUCCGUUAGAAAGAUUAGCUGAGUUUGUAUAUUGAGAAAAUUGUAAGUUUGCAAUGGUAUUCCGUCGAGUAUUGUUUCGCGACAGGAGAUCCUAGAUUACAUAAGUUCUGGGAAGGUUUGCAGAGGGCUUUGGGGACUCAGUUUGAGAUUGAGCUUUCUGCAUAUCAUCGCAGACUGAUAGGUCAGACUGAGCGAGGACGAUUUCAGUUCAACUGGAGGAUCUUUUGAGGGCUUGUGUUUUGGAAAAGGGAGGUGCUUGGGAUUGUUAUUUACCUUUGAUGAGUUUUACCGUACAAACAAUAGUUUCAAUUCGAGCAUUGGGUAUGGCACCGUUGAAGCUUUGUAUGUAGGGAGAUGUCGGACACCUUUUAUGUUGGAUAUGGAGUCCGGUGAGAGUGCUCUGGUUUGGACCGGAGAUUGUUUCAACAAACUAGAAAAGAUUAAGAUGAUUCGGGAGAAGAGCAGGAUUGCUCAGAGUUCGUCAGAAGAAUUAUCACGACAAGAGGAGGGAAGUCACUGAGUUUCAAGAGGGACAUUCAGUGAUUCUUCUUCGUGUUACUCCCAUAACUGGGAUUGGGGUCAGCUUUGAAGUCGAAAAAAGUUUGACACCUUCGAUUUUACUUGGUCCUUAUCAGGAUUUUGGAGAGGAAUAUGGGAGGUAGCCUAUCGUAUCGGCUUUACCCCCACCGCCCGUCAACUUGCGAAUUUGCAUGAGGUUUUUCAAUGUGGUCUCAGUUUGAGGAGGUACCAUUCCUGAUCCGUCGCAUGUGGGUUCCAGUAGAUGAUGUACAGUGAGAGUAUUAACCUGACUGUUGAAAACAUCACCUAUGAGGAUAGAGGAUCUGUAGAGUGUGAAGAUUUGCGGGUGUAAGAGAUUGCUUUGGUAAAGGUAGCUUGGGAAGGACCAGCAGGUGGCAAUGUGAACUCGGGAACUGAGAGUUCGAAUGAAGGAGUCUUAAUCCAGAGUUUAUUCGCUUUUGGGGAGGGGUCAUGGUUUCGAGGACUUGGAAACUCUUUUAGUGGGCGGAGAGUUGUAAACACCAGAUAAAAAAGAUAAAUUAUUAAUUUAGUUAAUUAGUAUAUUAUUAAUUUAAUUAAAUAUUGGGAAUAUUAUUGGGAUUAAUUUUCAUUGGAAUAAUUAAAGUUUGAAUAUAUAAUAAAAGUUCCAUUGGUAAAAAGGGGUUUUUCACGUGAAACCAGAGAAGCGACAGAAAAGUGAGAAGAGGGCAAAGAGGAAGAGCAAGAGACCAAGGGUUGAAGAAGGAAAAGCUUGAAGUAAAGGAUUUGUCGAUUAAACUCAGGUAAGGGGGUUGUAUCGUCGUUUAAUGGCGUAUUAUGGGUUACAUGUAAUGGGGUAGUAAUAAGCCAUUGAAUUGACCCUAAUUGCGGAUGAGGAAUGUUGCAAAUUGUGGAUGAAUAAGUUAUGUUAAAACUGUAAUUGAAUCUAUAUGUGGGUGAGUCGUAAUUCUGGACGUGUAGUUUUUACGCGAAUUGAAAUCGGAGGUCCGCCGAAGUCUCGCGAGAGGAAAAUGCGGGAAAUCUGCAUUCUUGUUUUCGUGUUAGCGCGGAACAACUUUCUGUUCUGCGUUAACCGGUUAACCCAGGGUGUAACCGGUUACACUGUUAUGAUAAAAUUAAAAGAAUUAAUUUCUGUUCCUGCGUUAACCGGUUAACCCCAGGUGUUACCGGUUAACACUGUUAAAAAUUGCCAGAAAGUUGUUCGUGUGUUGCGUUAACCGGUUAACCCAGGCGUUACGCGUUAACACGUCUGUUUGGAAGUGGAAAAUUGAUAUUCAAAUAUUGUGUACAUAUUUGACGUUUGGCCUAUAUUGGUGUAUGAUAUAGUAGGGAUCAUUUCCCGUUGUUUUGAGCAGUAUAGGUUAUUAGUAGAGUGUGCAUUAUCUGUGAUUUAUUAUUUGGCAUGAUAUGAUAUGAUUCUGUGAUAAAUAUGCUGAUAAGUAUGAUGGUAUGCAUAAUGCUGUGAAUAUAUCUAUUAUGUAUGCAAUUGUGAUGGACUGUUUAUGGCUUAGAGUGUGAGCAUAUGUCCAUUGUGAUUGUGUUGAUGGUUGCAUGCUAGUGAUGUUUAGCGUGCAUAGUAUGGCCUUUAUGGUGGGUAGCUAAUUCCCAUGGUGAGGAAUUAGUGAGUGAGUUAUUGUGGAUUGUUGUUGAUGUUUGCAUGCUAGGUGAUUUAGCGUGCAUAGCAUAGCCCUUGGGGUGGUAGCUAAUUCCCAUGGUGAGUGAAUUAGUGAGUGAGUCACUAGGUCUCAAAUGAGUGGACUAGUGAGCUUGGUAGCCGUAUCUGAUUUGAUCGGUGAGGUUGAACUAUGUGUUCACGAAUAGUCGGUACCGCAUGCAUGGAGUCUCAUUGCAUAAUGUAUGUAUGUGUUAUAAUAUGAAUGGAUGUUUUCCAAUUUAUACGUGUGUUUUGUGUUUGUGUUGAGUAUGAUUUGAGUUGAUGUUGCCUGCUGAUGUGUGAUCUGAUUAGGGUGAUGAAUGUGUUAAUUUACUUAGCCAUUACAGAUAUUUUAUAAUGCUUAUUAUUCGAUUGAGGAACUCACCCUUACAACUAUGUUUUCAGGUAACGAGCAGUGAUUGAGUAGAAGCUAGUGCUUGGAGUCUAGUGUAGUUCCUUAGUGGGUCAUGCUCUGGCUAGAUGUAACAUCGGGACAGGAUGUUUUACUUUGUUUCAUUUUGGUUGUUGAACAACUACAUGUAAUGUGUUACAUGGUUUGCUGAUGAUUAGAUCUCUAUCCGCUGCGAAUUUAUGCAAUGGUUUUAUUUUGAUGAAUAAUGAGCAAGCAUGACAAGUUAUUAUGGUGAAUGGUGUGAAGUGUCAAGUGUGACACCCUUAAAUUGCAUAUCUACUCUGAUUUAUAUUUGGUUGAAUUAAUUAAUUAUUGGGGUAUUUUAGAAGGGUGUUACACUUUGAUUCUUGCAACUACAGAUGGUGAAGAGUUCACUCGUCCGGUGAACGCCGAUGCAGUCAAGAAAUACUUUUCCUAAAAAUAAAAGAACAACUCGCUAAGUUGAAAACUCGAAAGGGAGGCUUAGGCAAAAAAGAGCGUCUCGGUGGAUUGAAGACCCGAAAGGGCGAUUCAGGCAAACAUUAGAGACAUAAUACAGAAAAUUUAUCUCGGUAGAUUGAGUACUCCACCUUGGGGCAAUCUAGGAAAAAAUUAGGGAUUAUGGCAAGUAACUGCAUUCGGAUGAUCCUAAUCAUAGAAGCAUUUUUUGAGCAAGUCAUUUGGUUCUGGUUCUUCAUUCUCAACUGAAGACAAGCACAAUGGAUGUUGAAGUUGGUAAGGAGAGUAGUGACCAUUGUAUUCAAUAUAACCCUUUUCCAUGUAAAUUACUAUUUUUCAAACAUUGUAAAAAUCUAUGGAGUCUCGUCAUUUACAGACUGCCAUUCUAUUAAAUAAAGUUGAGCUUUUAUCCAAUUAUUUAUAUUCUUAUUUACUUCUGCUAAAUGAAAUUGAAUUUUUAUGAUGAUAAUUUUGAAAUAAAUUAAUGGAUAAUCAUUUUUCUUAAAACAAUAAAAGUAAUCACUUUAAGGAUAAUCGAUUUCAGUAAGGAAUGUUAACAACAAUAUGAGAACAUGUAAGUCUUGAAGUGUGAAGCAUUGUUGGUCUUCCCCUGAGCAGUUGGUUUGGUAACUUUUUUCCUCCCCAACAGUUCGUCAUUUAUCCCCAGCCUGGUUGACGAGUUUCUCCCUGAAUAUGUCAUCAUCCCAAAUAGAGCCAGUGGCUCUCAUUCCAGUUGAGUCAAUGAUCGGUCCCCUUUGCAAACUCAUAUUCCCCGGCUGAGGUGCUCUUGUUUUGUAUCCCCCCAGUUUGUGUGUGGACUCUAGAGAUCCAAAACCUUUAUUUGGUUUCCAUUUUUGCAUUGUGUUGCAUAACUUCGGUAGUUUCCCCUUUUUGCGAAUCAGAUCUAGUUAUAUUUGCCCUGGAAUUGGUUUAUUUCGCAAUUUCCAAGAAGCAUCCAAUAAGUAUUGAGGAAUGUGAUGGUCUUGGUCAUAACAUCCCCAACAGUUUGCUUAAAUCCUCAUGCAGAGUUUUACCUCUUGUAUUCCCCAACAGAGUUCAUCUUCAGAUAUGAAGAUCCCUCUUCCCGGCAGUAUUGGAUUCUGAGCAGUGUUUGAUUUUUGUCCCCUGCAAGGUUGUCUCCCAUUCUGACAUGGUGUUGACCUAAAAUUCCCCGCAGUAUUGACAAUUUGGAUCCUCAGCAGAUCCCUGUUACCCUCGGUAUGUUUGGUUGAUCAUCCUUCAGCAGUGCUCUCUCUCCGUAGAGUUCGCCAUGAUUGUUUGGAAUCACGUUCUCCUUGGUUUUUCUAGCCAUAGCUGAUUUGUGCAGAGCUAGAUAAUUUGUUUUCAUCCCUAUCAUCUUCUCCAAUUGAUGUUUUCAUCUUGUUGAGAUUAGCCGAGUGUUGCAGUAGUGAUUCAAAUCUUUGUUAUUUGUAUCCUUUGUGCUUUUUUGUCAGCAUAAUCAUAAUCAUACCCGCAUAUACAUGCAUAAAGCACAUCAUCAGAUAUUUCAUUAUUCAUUUUAUCGCAUUUUAUUUUUUUCCGACCCCUUGCUUCGGUGAUAUUAUCUCCCCAUGUAGAUUUGGUGUGUCUGUCCUCCUUCAUUCGUAGAGUGUCAUCCCCUUAAUCAGAAAGAGUUUAACCUUUCUCAUUCCCCACCGAGUUAUUUCCUCGUGGAUGAUUAUUAUUUCAGUUUCCUCCCUAGUUAAUUAUCUGGAUGGAACCACUCCUCUUGAGUUAGAUCCUCAUUGGGUUGAGUCUUUGUUUGACCGUUUCUUUCUAGUUUUUACCUAGAUAGAUAUUUUGGUCCCUUGAGAGUUUAUUACCCAGUAACCUAAUAUUCUUCUCGAUUUUGAGUACUUUACUUUUGCCCAGUACCCGGUAAAAUGUAAUCUACUUCCUUUGUUUUCCCCAGCGGUUUCGUUUUCAUGUUUCCCCAGGUAGUUUAUCCUUGAUAUGUUCAUCCUAACCGAUGACGGAUAUUCUUCCUUUUAUGGUUUUCUACCAUGUAAAAAGGUAGUUGUAAUCCCUAUUUUAUUCCCCAGAGAAUCUAUCCUUGAUAUGUUCACUUUAACCGGUGAUAGAUUUUCUCUCCCUUUUCGGUAUUCUACCCAGUAACCGAUAGUUGUAAUUCAUACUUUCCCCUGCUGAGUUUAUCCUUUAUAUGUUCAUCCUAACCGGUGACGAAUAUUAUCUCUUUGGUAUUCUAUCCAGUAACUGAUAGAUAUAAUUCCUAUUUCUCCCCGACAGUUUAUCCUUGAUAUGUUCAUCCUAACCGAUGACGGAUAUUCUUCCUUUGAGUUUAUCCUUGAUAUGUUCACUUUAAUAGGUGACAGAUACUCUCUCUUUGCUCUUCUGCCCAAUAAUCGAUAGUUGUAAAUCAUAUUUGAGUUCUCUCCCCAGUAGGUUAUUCUUACCCAGUAACCGGUAAUGGAUACACCUCUUUUUCCUCAAAGAGUCAUCCUUGAUAUGUUUACCCUAAUCGGUAACGGAUAUCCCUUUGUUAGAGUGUAUUAUCUUCCUACCCAGUAACCGGUAAUAGAUAAUAUAUCUCUUAUACUCCUGUGUUGAAGUUCAUUCUUCCCCAGUUGAGUUUGAGUGCGUAUUUCCCUAGUGGAAUCGCCUUUUCCUAUUUGGUUCGAGUAUUUCUACUUUGUUCUAAUCUACCAGUUUCCCCUAUAGAUUAUCCUGGUUCCCCAACCGAGUCUUUCCAUUGAUUUAUAUUCAUGGAAAUCCCCUCGUGCCUCCAGCCGUUUUUAAGACGUAGCCUGGCCUAAGAACAAAUUUUUAUCCCCCUAGAGUCUUUGUCUCCCCAGUAAGUUUUCCUUAUGGAAUGCAUUAUGCUCCUGCGGACUUUCAGUCUCUCCGGAUUCUUUUCCUUUGUGGCAAUUUAUUCCCCACAAAGAUUAUUUUACAUACAUACCAUAUGCAUCAUGAGGUCUCUUAGGGACCAAAAUUUGUUUCUUGAUGUUGUUAUUUAAGUCUAUUCUACUGAGUUGACGGGAAGUUUUUAACCUUGACAUCCUCAGUUAGAAUGUCCUUAAAUAGGGGCAGCUGUAAGACCCCAAUCUUGACCCUAAGAUCCCUCAUACUAUCUCAUCAUUUGCAUUGGCUUUGGGAUCACGCCUUGGUAUCCUCCUUACCCCUCAUUCAUUGGGUUUGCAUUGGGAGAGAUCACCAAGCAUAUUUGAUUGUAUCAUACUUUGUUUUUUAUUAUGAACUAACCAAAAUACCAAAAAUAUGUCUAUGUAUAGCUUUGUUUCUUUUGUAGGUAGUGUGUGCAUCCACGAAUGCCUCAUCAAGCUCAUAUAUAGGGUUUGAGACCCUCAAUGCAAGGAGAUCAAUCAAGAGAUUAUUCACAUUGGCUCUAAACAUCAUAUAUGGGUCCCCAUGUUCUUCAUUUAUCAUUUUGAUCAAGAAAUCAUCAAGGGUUUGAAGUUUGUUUGCAUUGGAAGCCCUAAUUCAUUUGGGUAUCUUGUGUGACUUCCUCAACAAGUUUAUUUAACAUUUGAUAAAAUAUUUCAAGGGAUACUUUAUUAUACAUCAUCUCAUCAAUAUAUGAUCAUCCAUGAGCCCCAAAUAUCAAGAAAACUUCAAGUUUGCAAGUUGGUUCAUGGUGGUUGACUAGAGAAAGUCAACUGCUCAAAAUUGGGGUUCCCUAGACCCUAUCUCCUACAAUUUGUGUCAUAUGGAAAUUAUUCUAAGAGAAACGUUAAUCUUUAUGAUAUUCCAAACAACUUUAAUUUUGAAUUCAAGAGCUAGUUUUGCUCGGAAAGUCAUUUUUUAUGGUGAAAUAUUAUAGGUUAUUUUGUUUGUGCCCUUGUUAGAAGGUCAACUUCCAAGGACCAUAACUUGCUGAAUUUUUAUGAGAUGAAGUCCAUCCAAGUUUCAUGAUCAAUUUAAAUAUGUCACUUCCAACUUUUAUGCUUUGAGAAACUUCAAAUUCAACUUGCAAGGGCAUGUUCCAAGAAGAAACAUUAUAGGUCAUUUUGGGUCAUUACCAUUGAACAAGCAAUUUUCCUCAACUUCUAAAAUACAUUACUCCUUCAUGCAAAAUCCAAAUGAGAUCCAAUUUGUGACCAAAUUGAAUAGGUUUGAAAGAGAUACAACUUUUAUGAAGGAAAUGUUUCCAUUUGAAGCUCAUAGCAAAAGUUAUUCAAGGUGGAAGAAGUGAACAUUUGACUUGGUACUUAGAAAAAUUUCAAUCAUGUUUGAAUUUCCAAACUUCCACCUCAAAAUUCCUCAUGGUACAAGCUUCAAAUGAAAAAGUGUUCAACAUGAAAGUUGUUCCCCUUGGUCUCACCUUCCCAAAAAGUCCAAUAUCACCUCAUUUGGACCGAGAUUGAGGGACUUGCAUAUGGUUCCUUUCAUAGGUUUAUUUUGGUAAAACUUGAACUCAAAUAACCAUUUCCUAUUGCAUGCUUACAUGUUAUGGUUUUAGUACUCAAUGUGCACGAAUUGGAGUUGGAUUGCAUCAUUCCUUAGGCCCAAAUCAUUGCCCAUUCAUUCAUGCACCAAAGUUGCUAAAAUUGGCAAAUGUUCAAGGUGUGUGAAAAGUAACUUGAUACACUAUAAAUACAAGGCCUUUGUGAUCAGAAUGGGGAUCCUUGCUUUGCCAAGAUUUGAACCAUUGCCUCCCUAACCUCCAUUAAAGAAUAAACUUUAAGAUUUCACUUGAAAUCGAGUUUCAAAUCUCCUUCUUUUUUGAGAUUGAAACUCCAAGAAUCCAAACCCUUCUUUGAUCCAAUUCACUUUCUGCAAGCUUCUGGAGUCGAGCCAAGGCCAAUUGGAAGCAAGAUCAAGCCAGAUUCAAGCUACUCGAAGGUGAUUUUUCAGAAACUUUCUCUCUUCGAUUCUCUCUCAAUUCUUCACCAUUCUCUUUGAUUUUUGGUUGGCUGAAGUCCAAUCAAUGUAGGCAACAAGAUUGAGUUGCUUUGAGGUCAAAUCGAAGCAACUUAGAUCAUGAACCUCAAAUUUCAAAUCCAUGUAUCUUUUAAUAUACUUGGAAUUGGAAGAAAUGGAGGUCAGAUUCGUGCUCCUGAGCAUUUUUCCUUCAAAAACAUGUAUCCACUUUUCAUUUUCCAUUUCGUUUAUGGUGGACCAGUCCUGUGAGGUCCAUCAGAGAAGAUGACUGGAGCUAGGGCUCCGGUGGUGUGCUGGCUUUUCCCAUACCAUCUGAUCAUGGUUCCACAUUUUAAUCAGGACCCUUGAUUUUGCAUACCACGUGUGUACACGCGUUGACUAAGGUGUUGGAUGGAAGCGCGCGCUUGGCCAUCAGAUCUGUCACCUCAAUUAAUGAGGGAGAUCUGAUGGCCCUUAUUUUUUUGAAUUUCUUUUUAUUUUCUGGAUUUCCAUUUAAUCGACUUAUUUUAUUUAAUUCGUAGAAAUUUCAUUUUUAAUCCAAAAAAUAUGGGACUUUCACAAAAAGUCUUUAAAUAUUUUUCUCUUCCAUACUCUGAAUUAAAACUAAUUUUUGGAUUAAUUUUGAUAUUUUUCAUGAAUUAAAUAUUUUUGUGCAUAUUUUUAAUUGCUUAAAAAUACUUCUGAAUUUUCAAAAAUAGUGAAUUUUUUUUGUCUUAGGUCCUUUGAUCUUGUUUGACCUAGGAUAAAUCCCUUGGCCAUUUAUUUGGUGUUUUGAAGGGAUUUUAGGCUUUGACUAAAUUAAAAUGUAUUUUAAUUCAUUUUUAAAUUGAUUUUUAAUUGAUUAAAUGUUUAAAAAUGUUGUUGAGACAUUUUUAUGGUCUUGUGAUGAUUAACUUUCUGUUUGGGCCUUGGUCAAGGUUGAUUUGACUUUUGUUAGAUCAAAACUAUUGGAUUUAGGGGAUUGAUGAGAUGUACAUCUCAUCUCCUAAAAUGAAUGGAUGGUUUUGAUUUGAUGAAAUUCCUCCCAUAUCAAUUUGUGUUUCUAUCUUCCCCUCCAUCUUCAUAUGUAUCCCUAUUCUUCCCCAUUCCCUCAUUUGACCAAUGAAAUCUCUAAUGUCCAAAGGCUAAUUGGUUCAUCAAUGACCUUGUGUCAGAUGAAUCAAUUAAAGUAUGAUUGAGAUAAGUCCCUCCCCUUGAUCUUUUCUUUUAGUGUGUGGUAUGUUUUAGGAGUUUGGUUCUUCAUACCAAAUCUCUAACAUGCAUUAACACCUAUAUUUUUAUUUCCCGUUGAUCGGGAAAAUAGCAAGUGUACUAUUUUGCUGAUGAAGUAAUAAUAGGGAUGUUUCCCAAAGAUUGAUCUCGAGGAUUGCGCAAUAAUAUACGUGUGAAUUGUUACUCAAUUGAACAAAACUAAUAGUUGGGGUUUUGUAAAAUGUCACUGUAAGAGAAAGUAAAACCAAAUAAAUCUUUUCAUAGUUUAAAAUAAUAUGCCAAGGAUGGCGUAUGAAAAUCUCCUAUAAUGACCCUUGAGUGUAUAUCUCCUUAAUAAUGAAAAUUGUUUCAAUUACCGGAUCUUAAGAUUGUUCCCCCCUAAGACCUCAGAGGGAAACCUUUGGUCAUUCAAUCUAACCUCUAAGUCCUUAGGCAAUUAUGAUGAAAUUAAGCAUUUACAAUUUAACAAGAAUAAACCGGUAACCAUAGGGUAUCCAUGGUCCUGGGUGAUAUCUACUAUGGUUUCACUAUAUAAAAACCUUAACAAUUGCAAUCCUGCUAAUUAUUAACCAUACAUCAAUCUUGAUUUUUCUGAUAAGGAAAGCAUUACGCAAAUUGCACAGUGAAAUUAACAACAAACAUCAUAUAUUAAGGAAAUUAUAACUUCAGAGUCAUUACACGAUCAAUCCAGGGACACCCCCAUGGCAUUGGGGGGUUUAGCCUCUCAUAUUAUUCAAAUAAGAUACAAAAUAAAAAUGAGACAUUACAAAAGAAUGGGAAUUCCCUUGAUCUUCAAUUGCAUCCGCUCUUGAAGGAUCUUCAUCUUCGCCACUUUUGACCACUUCAAUCUUUAUCGUCUCCAAGCUGUAAUCGUGAAAAGUCCUUUUCUCCAUAUUCAAAAAUCCCCUAAAUAGUUCUUGAUCACUAAUUUGAUAUAGCAAAAGUCCAAAAUACCCUCCAGGAUCAGCCGUGCCAAAAUACAGCAAAAACUGGAAAAUGAGGUGUCCAAACUAACAUUGGCCGUGUCAGGCAACACUACAGGCUGUGUUGGUUGUUUGGUAAAGUGGUCUUGACACGCCCCUCUAGGGAGGCUGACACGGGCACCCGUGUCAGCUCCCUGUUUUCUUCUCCUGGCUUUCCUCUCCUGACACGGGCCGUGUUGGGUAACACGGGUGAUCGUGUCAUGACUACUGUGUUGUCCAAUUUCCUCUUCCGACGGGCCCUGAACGUCUGAUUCGCUUGGCUAUCCCUCCGGUAUUCUUGCUUACCCCUGAAAACAGUAAAACUACCACAAAGAGACAUAAAAUUGAGUAUAAUGAUGCAAACCAAAUAUAAGCAACAACUUGAAAUAACAAUGCAAAACAUCUAAUUUACUAAAUAAAAUGAUAAAACAGGUAGACUAAUAUGUUACCGACUUCGUGAAAAGGUUCCAAAUGAGUGUCAGAAAACAAGUAGAAUUGGAGACUGAUCACAACCCCAAACUUAUCUCAUUGCUUGUCCUCAAGUGAUGCUUGAGACAUCAGGACGAUCACCCCCAAAUUCUGCAUCCACAAUGCUACUGUGAUCUUUCGCGAUUCCAUGUUCACUUUCCGUUCACUGUUUUACUCUUUCCCGACUUCCGACUUCCGUUACACUUUCACAUUAACGCAAAUCUCUCGGGAUCAAAGUGUUUGCACUCAACAGAACAGAGCAUGCAAAGUCAACUCUUAAGUUUGAAUCACAAAUACCUUCAUAACAAAAACACACACCACACACUAUUCAAGGGAUUUUUGGGUUGUAGUGAGGCUAAGGUGUAAGGUGGGGAAACUUAACAAAACAAAAAGGGGAAUACUAGGGGCACAUGCUUAGAGUUCGUGUUGCUACCCUCGUAAUUAUGUUAUAUCUUUUAAUCGGGAGGUAUUUCUUUUGGGCACCGUUCUUGUUGGGAUUCGUUGACUCUUAUUUUUUCCUUUUUAUUUAUCUUUUGAGCACGCUUUUUGUCAACCCCAAUUCUUCUAGAUAAGUGUUUCAUGAAAUUUCUCAUGAUUUUUUCAUUUCUCUUUUUUCUUUUAAGUUUCGCACUUUUCUCAUUUUUCUGCACUUAUCUACUUUUCAUCGGUGUCCCAAAAUUUUGAUGAAACUCUAAACUUAGGAUUUUCCACAGAUUUGGAGUAAACAACCCUUAUAUAAGCAAGGUGUGGCAGUGUUUGGGCUUACGGUUAUUUACAGUGGUUAGAUAACAAACAAAAGGAAAUAUGGCUCAAAUUGGGUGAACGAAGGGUAAUAAUGGCGGGUUGGCUGGAAAGGCUCAGGGUUUAAAUAAAACAAUUUGCCUCAGUGUGUACAUGUGUGUUAUGAAAUUCUAGUAUCUCUUAUGCAAACCCAGAGAGACAGAGACAUACCUGGAAAGCUCUCAUGAUGACAAGUGUUUGGCUUUUUGUAGUCCUCACCAUGUUUGGUAUAAAGUGUGUACAUGUGUGUUAUGAAAUUCUAGUAUCUCUUAUGCAAACCCAGAGAGACAGAGACAUACCUGGAAAGCUCUCAUGAUGACAAGUGUUUGGCUUUUUGUAGUCCUCACCAUGUUUGGUAUAACUUGCAGGCUUUCAAGAUACCUCUCAGUAUGAUGUAGCUUCGUCUUUACUUCGGUUAUAGAGUAUUCCUGAGAAGUCCAGUAACAGAGAGUCGCGUCCGAUUAUUCAGAUCAACAACAUAAACUUUCGGGGGUUUCCAGAAGAGCUGAUAGAGGAGUGUGUCUGUCAUCCAAUCGCUCCAAGCCUCAUUAUUCAUCUGGCACAAAUGUCCUCUAUCUGUAACACACAGAGUACCACACAACUAAUUAUUUUAAACAAACAUAAUAAAAUGAUGAAAAUACUAAGAACAAAAAAAACAAAUAAUAAGAAAAAAACCCACACUUGAACCAAACAUUGUCCGCAAUGUUUAAUCCAAGAUAGAGAGGGACUCACACAGGUUCACUACGGUGGUGGAAAUUGCAACAUCAAAUGUUGCAUCAUCGUGUGCAUCUCCUCCAUAAGAGUCCCUUGACGGGCUUGCUCUUGGCCUUGAUGUGUUUGCUCCGCUCAGAGAUCGCCGAUUUCUGUCUGCAUCCAUGACCAUUGGCCCAGUGUCACAUAUGACGACCCGACACCUGGGUGCGUGGUGUCCUCUGGCAGAGCAACAAACUGCUCUUGUUCCUGCACCUCUUCCUCUUGUGGGUCACCUGCAACAAAUGGGUCAGCAUUGUGCUCGUCCAUAUCAUCUUGGACGACACUCUCAUAUAGCCAAUUGGCCGUGUUGGAAAUGCUAAUUCAUCAGGGUCAGGAAAAGCCAUAAUAAACUGACCAAAACUCAUUAAAGCAUAAUAAUCAGAAAUUUGUGAUAGCAUACCUUGCUGAACCAAUGUGUUCAUGUCCAGUUUAUGCUUACUUGCCACUGGCGUCUCAUUAAGGGAAGCUGGGUAAUAUCCAAAAUGGUGGGCAAUCUGUGUGAUUAUGCCCCCUAUAGAAAUUCCCCCUUGGGCUGCUCUCCCCAUUCGACCCAUGUAAUCCGCUGCAAAUGAUGCAACACUCAAAGCGACUCAGUUUUCCAUGACAAACAAAAAGAAGAUCUCCCUCUGGGUAGCCACACCUGUGCUAUCACCCAUACCAAAAAGCGUGAAAGCCAGCACCUUUUGGGCAUACCUGAAACAAGGGUUCUGAAUGCUGGAUGCUUUCUCCCCUUUGGCAACAUAAUCUGAUUGUCCUGUGAUGGCCAACCAGAAAGUCUUAGCAUUAAAACCAUCUGGUACGACUUUGGGGCCAUAUAGGGGUAGGCAGAGAAUUUCACCCAACUGCUCCACUAUUAACUCGUGGUCGACAUUGUAUAACCUAAAUGUCAUCGUUCCUCCAAAGUACAUUAUUGUACCUGUUCAACCUUUUUUUAACUUGAACUCAAUGGUGCUAAAGAAUUCUAAAGUGAUGCGUUCAUAGGUAGGCGCUUCACAAUGCACAAAUUCAAGCAUGCUGAGAACAUGGAACAUCCUAUCUAAUUCUUCCGACAAACCCAAUUGAAAUAGAGUAUCAGAGCAUAGGUACCUUGUCAGUGUUAUCUUCCGCUUAACGUGAGAAGAGUACCUUCGUUUGUGCUCUGGGUUAUUGAAGAUUAUAUCGUGCGAAUUCGGAUGACGGAUGGUCCGUUUCCAAGGUCUGGAUGAUUCAGCUUCAGUUUGCUUCCCUUUAGAAAUUCGCUUCGACGACAUGAUUAAUUUCUAGAACACAAAUAUAUGACCCAAAAAUAAAGUAUGGAAAAAGGAAAAGCGAUUACCGUAGCCUUAUAGAGUGAGGAGAGUAGAGAAACUUUUGUGAAGGGUGCCGGCGAUUUGGACGGAGUAAAGUGGCAAAGUUGUGAGCUUUUUGGUGGUGAGGUUAUGGAGAAAGUUGAAGAACAAUGGAGGAAGGAGAAAGAUGUGGUAAAAAUGGGAGAGAGAGAAGAUGAGAAAAUCAGACUUAAUGGGUGGAUUUAGGGAGGAAUGAGUUUAAGUGGUGGAAAAUCCGGGUGGGGUCCACCAAAUAACAAAAUCCAAAAUUUGAAAAAAUAUGGCUGUUGGGCCUGACACGGGCGGUCGUGUCAGGCUACUAUUUUUUUUGGCUCCCCCUACAAUAGAGCUGACACAGGCCGUGUUAGCUGACACGGGUGACCGUGUCAGCCUAUUGAAAAACUCCUCUUCCUUAGCUCCUUGCCUGACACGGGCCAUGUCAGGUGACACGGGCACCCGUGUCAGGGCCCUGUUUUUUUUCAAAAAACUUGAUUUUUUCUCUGUUUUCCCAUUCUCUGUUAUCCAAUUGUCUUCUAUGAGUUUAGCUCAAACCUUUUCUUUUGCACUAUGCGAUUUACCUGCGAACCUACAAAUAAAAUUGGAAACACACCAAACACUGAAAUAAUUAGAAUAAAACCGCAUGGGUUGCCUCCCACGAAGCGCUGCAUUUAACAUCGCAUGACUCGACAAUCGUCUCUCUUAUCCUCUGAGACGAACAUUAUCGAUCAGACCACUUUCCUGCCCCUUGUAGUAGUGCUUCAACCUUUGUCCGUUCACCUUAAAUGUAUCCCCGUUACUUGGAUUUUUAAGUUAUAUUGCUCCAUGGGGAAACACUUUGUGAACCAAAAACGGACCCGACCACUUGGAUUUCAACUUUCCUGGAAAGAGCUUUAAUAUGGAUUGAACAAGAGCACCAUUUGUCCCUCGACAAACUCCUUUCUUUGCAGCAUCUAAUCAUGCCAUUUCUUUGUCUUCUCCUUGUAGAGUUUGGAAUUCUCAUAUGCUUAGUUCCGAAACUCCUCUAGCUCAUGGAGCUGAAGGAUUCGGGAUUCACCCGCUUUAGCCAGAUCAUAAUUUAAGAAUUUGGAUGCCCAAAACGCUUUGUGCUCCAACUCUAGUGGCAAUUGACAAGCUUUACCAUAAACUAACUGAUAAGGAGACAUACCUAUGGGCGUUUUGAAAGCCGUUAUGUACGCCCAUAAUGCAUCUUCUAACUUUACUUCCCAGACUUUCCUAGAUGCGUAUACCGUCUUUUCCAAUAUUUGAUUUAUCUGCCUGUUGGACACUUCGACCUGACCACUCGUUUGAGGGUGGUGCGGAGUAACGAUCUUGUGUUUAACAUUAUAUUUCUUCAACAGAUUCUCCAUCAGUUUGUUCAAAAAGUGAGUACCUUCAUCGCUAAUAAGUGCUCUCGGCACCCCAAAUCUCGAAAAGAUAUUGUUCUUUAGAAAUGUCACAACCACUUUAGAGUCAUUGGUGGGCAAUGCCACUGCUUCCACCCACUUUGAUACGUAGUCUACUGCUACCAAGAUGUAAUUCUUCCCAAAGGACGGUGGAAAUGGCCCCAUGAAGUCUAUUCCCCAGACAUCAAACAAUUCAACCUCCAGCAUAGCGUUUUGCGGCAUUUGAUUUCUCUUAGAAAUAUUCCCCGUUCUUUAACAUCUGUCCCAUUCUUUGGCGAUGUCUUGGGCAUCUUUGAACAAUGUGGGUCAAUAUAGACCUGACUGAAGAACUUUGGCCGUUGUUCUGUCACCACUGAAGUGUCCUCCAUAAACCGAGUCAUGACAAGCUCUAAGUACAUCCCUUUGUUCCUCCUCCAGGACGCAUCUUUUGACCGGCCCAUCCACUCCUCUCUUGUAUAGGAAUGGGUCAUCCCACAAGUAAAACCUGCAAUCAUGAACAAACUUUUUCUUUUUGUUAGAGUCAAAAUCAUUAAGGAUUACACCCCCACCAAAUAAUUUACGUAGUCUGCGAACCAAGGGAUACUGAUAACAGCGAGGGUGUGUUCAUCAGCCAACUCGUCCUUUAUCGGUCUCUAUUCUUAUGUUUCUUCAAUUGGUGACAUUCAAGAUAGAUGAUCCGCCAUUGUGUUUUCACCCCCUUUUGUCCCGGAUCUCUACAUCAAAUUCUUGGAGGAGUAAGAUCCACCUGAGAAGCCUCGGCUUAGAGUCUUGUUUAGCAAACAAAUAUUUCAAAGCGACAUGGUUAGUAUACACGACAACCUUUGAUCCUAACAAGUACUGCCUGAAUUUUUCAAAUGCAUAAACCACGACCAACAACUCUUUCUCAGUGGUUGCAUAGUUCAUCUGUGUAGGGUUCAACACAUGACUAGCAUAGUAAAUGACAUGUAAUAACUUCUCUCUUCAUUGUCCUAGGACUGCCCCUUCAGCAAUAUCACUAACAUUACACAUGAUCUCAAACGGAAGAGACCAAUCGGGGGCAAUAACAAUGGGUGCUGAAAUCAAUUUGCUCUUCAAUGUCUCAAAGGCCAUGGUGCAUUCUUUGUCGAACAUAAACGCCUUAUCCUUAACCAAUAGAGUGGUCAGCGUUUUUGUGAUUUUUGAGAAAUCUCUUAUGAACCUGCGGUAAAAACCUGCGUGUCCUAAGAAACUCCUAAUACCCUUCUCGUUAACAGGAGGUGGGAGUUUAGAUAUCACUUCCACUUUUGCUUGGUCAACUUCAAUUCCCUUGUAGGAAAUUUUGUGACCCAAUAAUAUCCCUUCUCGCACCAUGAAGUGACAUUUCUCCCAGUUUAGAAUUAAAUUUGUUUUCUGGCACCUGUCUAAAACAAGAGGGAGAUUAGUUAAACAAUUAUCAAAUGAGGAUCCAAAGAUCGAGAAGUCAUCAAUGAAGACUUCCAUAUGCUUUUAGAGCAUGUCGGCGAAAAUGGAAGUCAUGCAUUGUUGGAAGGUGGCUGGAGCAUUACACAUCCCGAAUGGAAUUCUUCGGUAUGCAAAUACACCAUAUGGGCAUGUGAAUGCUGUCUUUUCUUGGUCUUCCGGAGCGACUGCAAUCUGAUUAUACUCGGAGUAUCCAUCUAAAAAACAAUAGUAAUCAUGUCCGACUAACCUUUCCAACAUCUGGUCAUAAAUGGCAAUGGGAAGUGGUACUUCCUAGUUGUUGUGUUCAACCUUCUGUAGUCAAUGCAAACGCGCCACCCGGUAAUUGUCCGAGUAGAAAUUAACUCAUUUUUUCAUUCCUUACUAUUAUGGUCCCCCCUUUCUUAGGGACAACAUGCACUGAACUCACCCAGGGGCUGUCAGAAAUAGGAUAUAUAAGACCUGCGUCUAACAAUUUCACCACCUCCUUCAUUGCUGGAUUGAGUCUUCUCUGCGGUUGGACUACUGGUUUGUGGUCUUCUUCCAUGAGAAUUUUAUGCAUGCACACAGUAGGGCUAAUACCUUUCAAAUCUUCAAUUUCCCAUCCAAUAGCAUUUUUGUAUUUUUUUUAGGACUUGGAUGAGCUUUUCUUCUUAAAUAUUCUUUAGGCUCGAGUUUACGGUAGCAGGACAUUUUCCUUCAGAAUCGGGAAAAACAUAUUUAAGAUUCUCAGAAAGUUGUUUCAACUCUGUUCCCUUCUUUGGCUCUUCAUCCUUCUCACUAGAUUGAGGUAGGCGUAAAUCCCCCCACAGGUGUGGUCGAGAUCCUUUCCAUGGAGGUUGUGCGUCUAACAAGGCUAGCACUUCAGAUUCCCUGUUGUCCACUUCUUUAUCACUAUCGAAAAUGGACAAACUCAACACUCUUUCCAAAGGUGAAUAUGGUGCAUUCAAAGGACUAUCAUAUGUCAUCACCUGAUCCAGAAUCUAUAUAGUAUGUCUGGUACAAAUAUCAUCCUUGUACCUCAUGGUGUUUCGAACACCAAUUUUCAAUUCCUCAUCAUAAACCUUCAACGUCAUAGUCCCUUCUUUUAUGUUGAUCAAGCACCUUCCCGUUUCUAAAAAGGGUAUCCCAAGAAUGAUAAGGAUCUCUUCAUCUUCAAGCAUUUCAAGAAUUACAAAAUCCACCGGAAAUACAAACUUUUCAAUUUUCACCAGAACAUCUUCAACAAUACCACACAGUUUCUUGACCGAAUGAUCAGCGAAAUGGAGUGUCAUCCUGGUAUCUUGCACAGCCCCUAUACCAUGUUUAUUAUAAAUGGCUAACGGCAUGAGACUCACACUAGCUCCCAGAUUAAUAAGAGCUUUUUUGAAUGACCUAUCUCCAAUAGUACACGGGAUGGUGACAGCUCCUCGAUCUUUCUUCUUUAUCGGAAUCUUCAUACCCUGUAAAAUAGCACUACAAGUUUUGGUUAGAAUAAUCAGGUUGGUGUCGGCAGUACGCCUCUUCGAAAUGAUGUCCUUCAUGAACUUGGAAUAAGUAGGCAUUUGUUCAAGUGCCUCCAACAGUGGAAUGUUAAUCUCCAGCUUCUUGAACAACUCUAAGAUUUUUUCAAAGUUUUUCUCAUGUUGUCCCUUUUUCUUUUUUCUAGUGGGAAAGGGAAGCUUAACAACUGGCUUAGGCUCAAUGACUGUUUCUUUCACAACUGGUUUCGGUGCUACCAAUUCUUCCCUUACAACUUCAUUUUCUUUGAUUUGAAGAUCCACUUCGAUCAAUUAAUCUUCCUCUUCAUCCACCUCCUCGACUACUUCAUCAGAUUUACCACUUCUUGUUGUCACAACGCUCACAUUAUUAUGCUCUAUAGGAUUUGUCACAGUUGCACUAGGUAGAGCACCUAGUGCUUGAGAACUCGAAGCUAAUUGCUGAGCGAUUUGAUCCAUUUGGACUUCAAGAUUCUUUAUGGAUGUUGUGGUGUUUUUCUGAUUGUUCCAAGUUUCUUCUUGAAAUUGAACAUUAUGAGAUACCAUUCUUUCAAUUGCAAUUUCCCAAUCAACUUCCUUAGGGGCUUGUUGUUUCUGUUGUUGUUGAUAUUGAGUUUGGUAUUGACCGUGUUGAGGAGUGGUUCCUUUUUGGUCUUUCCAUGAAAGUUGGGGUGAUUCUUCCAACCCGGAUUGUACGUGUUGGAAUAAAGAUUAUUCUGCUUCAAAAAUUUGAUUUCCUCCACUUGUUGAGGAGUUGCAAAACAAUAUACAGUUUGGUGCGGACCAUUACAAAUUUCGCAACAGACGGUAGGAGCCGGUUGGACCUGUGCUACCUGUUGGGUACCUAUAUUCAUUGCUUUCAGCUUCUUCUCAACUUCAGCAGCUAUAGUAUUUUCAAUACGAAUUUUAUUAGUUUCCAGCUUUAAAUCUAUAACCCCUUCUGGUUUGCUUUGACAUCUAGCGUACAACUCCAAGUGCUCAUUAGCAGCAAUAACUUCAAUGAUCUUCUUGAUAUCGGUGGUUGUUGAAAAAUUUGUGAGCCACCGACUGUGGUAUCAAUCAAUUGUUUGGUCUUUAUUUUAAGACCAUUCACAAACAUCUGCAUAUGUCCGAUUGGAUCCAUAUUAUGAGUUAGGCAGGCGACCAUGACUCUCUUGAAUCUCUUGUAAGCGUCUCCCAAAGUUUCCCCCUCCUUCUGCUUAAAAUUCAUACUUUCAUACCUCUUCCGCAGAAAUACCGAUGCUGGAAAAUACUCAUUUAGGAAGGUUUUUUCCAUUUCUUCCCAAGAUUUGAUGCUACCGGCGGGUAAAGAAUAAAACCAUUCUUCGGCUUCUUCCGCUAAGGUAAACAGGAACAUUCUCAAUUUCUUAGCUUCUUCGAUGUGAACCGGCGGGUAAAGAAUAAAACCAUUCUUCGGCUUCUUCCGCUAAGGUAAACAGGAACAUUCUCAAUUUCUUAGCUUCUUCGAUGUGACCAUCAAUUUUUAGAGUGUUGCUCAUGGUCAGAAACCUCUGCAAAUGCUUGUUUGCAUCUUCAUUUACUUUUCCAGUAAAAUGCUUCCUUUCAAGCUGAUUAAUAGUACUCGGAUGCAACUGGAAAUUAGCCAUAUUCAUUGGUUGGUUUACAAUAGUUAAUCUGCCGGUUGGUGCAUUUGCACCUCCGUAGUCACCCAACAGUCAUUCUGGUGGCGGUGGAACAUCAUCCAUAGUUUCGAUCUCUCUCUCAGAACCUGAAUCUGCACCUGAAUGAAUGGAAAGUUGUUCUUCGUCUGAUUCCAAUCGAGCUUGUUGAGUCUUGCCCACAAGGUUCUCUCGAUUUCUACAUCAAAAGGAAAAUCAAUUGAGGCCUUACCUCACAUAUAAAUAUCAGACACAAAUAAGUUGAUAUAAUCGAAAUAAAUUAUUAAAAUAAAGGAAAAUAAAUUUUAGUUGCAGAGCAACAAAAUUUCAAUUGAGAUGAUUUAAACUUAUAUUUGGCAAUCCCCGACAAUGACACCAAAAACUUGAUCAGGAAAAUAGCAAGUGUACUAUUUUGCCGAUGUAGUAAUAAUAUGGAUGUUUCCCAAAGACCGAUCUCGAGGGUUGCGCAACAAUAUACGUGUGAAUUGUUACUCAAUUGAACAAAACUAAUAGUUGGGGUUUUGUGAAAUGACAUUGUAAGAGAAAGUAAAACAAAAUAACUCUUUUCACAAUUUAUAAUAAUAUGCCAAGGAUGGUGUAUGAAAAUCUCCUGUAAUGACCCUUGAUUGUAUAUCUCCUUAAUAAUGAAAGUUGUUUCAAUUACCGGAUCUUAAGAUUGUUUCCUCCUAAGACCUCAGAGGGAAACCUUUGGUCAUUCAAUCUAACCUCUAAUUCCUUAGGCGAUUAUGAUGAAACCAAGCAUUUACAAUUUAACAAGAAGAAACCCGUAACCAUAGGGUAUCCCUAGUCCUAGGUGAUAUCUACUAUGGUUUCACUGUAUAAAAACCUUAACAAUUGCAAUCCUGCUAAUUGUUAACCAUACAUCAAUCUUGAUUUUUCUGAUAAAGAAAACAUUACGCAAAUUACAUAGUGAAAUUAACAAUAAACAUCAUAUAUUAAGGAAAUUAUAACUUCAGAGGCAUUACAUGAUCAAUCCAAGGACACCCCCUGCCAUUGGGGGGUUUAGCCUCUCAUAUUAUUCAAAUAAGAUACAAAAUAAAAACGAGACAUUACAAAAGGAUGGGAAUUCCAUUGAUCUUCAAUUGCAUCCGCUCUUGAAGGAUUUCCAUUCUUCGCCGCUUUUGACCGCUUCAAUCUUUAUCGUCUCCAAUCUGUAAUCGUGAAAAGUCCUUUUCUCCAUAUUCAAAAAUCCCCUAAAUAGUUCCGGAUCAUUAAUUUGAUGUAGCAAAAGUCCAAAAUGCCCUUCAGGAUCAGUCGUGCCAAAAUACAGCAAAAACUGGAAAAUGAGGUGUCCAAGCCAACAUUGGCUGUGUCAGGCAACACGAUAGGCCGUGUUGGCUGUCUUGUAAAAUGGUCUUGACACUCCCCUCCAUGGAGGCUGACAAGGGUCGUGUCAGCUGACACGGGCACCCGUGUCAACUCCCUAUUUUCUUCUCCUGACUUUCCUCUCCUGACACGGGCCGUGUUGGGCAACACGGGUGGCCGUGUUAGGACUACUAUGUUGUCCAAUUUCCUCUUUCGACGGGCCCAGAACGUCUGAUUUGCUUACCUAUCCCUCCGAUAUUCUUGCUUACAACUGAAACCAGUAAAAUUACCACAAAGAGACAUAAAAUGGAGUAUAAUGAUGCAAACCAAAUAUAAUCAACAACUUGAAAUAACAAUGCAAAACAUCUAAUUUACUAAACAAAAUGAUAAAACAGGUAGACUAAUGUGUUACCGACUUCGUUAAAAGGUGUCGAAUGAGUGUCAAAAAAUAAGUAGAAUUGGAGACUGAUCACCCAGCCUCAAAUAGUUGUGACUUCUACAUAAGUCCAAUUACGAUGGCUUAAUAUAGAGUUAAAUUUGACCCUCAAGGCAAAGCAUUCUAGUAAGUGAGAUUUUAAGUCUCCCAUUCUUCAUGGCAUUGUGUGGAGACUUGGCCUUUUUUCCUUUCAUGGGAGCUAGUGGCAUACUUGUUGAAUUAUCCAAGUUGGAGCCCUUCUCAUGGAAGAUGUCUUGGUGUAAGGAUCCAUACUUGUGAAUGAAUGGUUGAGUGUUCUCUAAAGAAUGACUUAAUCAAUUAAAAUCACCAUUAACACUUGACUAACUUUUGACAAACAUUUGACUAACUCUUGUUAAUAUUGCUUUAUUUUCAAGUCAUUUACUAUUAUGAAAUUUAAAUUUCAGUCAUUUAUCAUUCAUUGCCAUUUACAUUUCAUAUAACUUGUUUAUGUUUAUGUCAUUUUCACUUUGCUCAUUUGAGCCAUAUCUUGUGAUUGUAUAUAUUAGUUGUGGGUUUUGGUUUUGUUUGUGGUCUUAGGACCUUAAAAUACCUAAUAACAACAAAAACCCUAAAAAACAUCUGGUGGACUGUUGAACUUGAUCUGAACUUUUGGACUUAGGAUUAGGAAACAUUCCCUGUGCAAAAAGUACUUGGCCAAUGCCAACAUUCUGAGACUGAGCUAUUAUGAACUGAGUCUUCAUCUGAUACAAGCCUUGGGAUUUGUUUGAAUUCAUCUGCUACUCUGUCUUUGUGCUUAAUUGUUAUUUUGAUCUUGUGUCUGAUGCUUUGCUCUAAGUUGAUCAAGGAAUGUUUCAUCUGAUAAUCUGAUACAAGCCUUGGGAUUUGUUUGAAUUCAUCUGCUACUCUGUCUUUGUGCUUAAUUGUUAUUUUGAUCUUGUGUCUGAUGCUUUGCUCUAAGUUGAUCAAGGAAUGUUUCAUCUGAUACAUGGAAAGACAAUGAAGACUGAUAGCUAUUGAAAUUGCUUGCUUGGAUGUGGCUACCUUUAUUUGAUGCCUUGAUCUUCAUGACGUCUGGAUAUUGCUCAUUGCUUAUUGAUUAUUGCUUGAUAAAAGUCCAAAGGAAAAUGGGUUUCUAUAUGACAUUCUUGUCUGUUGGAUUGCAUCCCAUUGGUCAGAUCUUUUCAACUCUCAACUUUUAAAUUUGUGCUUAGGAUAGCCUCUUCAUCCCCUCCCACUUCUUAAAUUUCAAAAUCUCUCCCCCUUUUCAAAAAAAUUCUUUGCUUGUAAUUUCAAACUUAGACUUUGUUUUAAUGAUUACAAACUUCGGCCUUAUGCCACUAAAUUUUAAAACUCUUUCUUAAAUCAAAUUUGUAAAUAAACUUAAUCAUAUUGACUUAAAAUUUCAAAAUACAAAAAGAACUUGUAACCCCAUUCAAAUUUUUGGCCCUUAGUGCCUUUUCUUAUUAAACUUUUGUAAAAGCAAUUCACCAACUCAUUCAAAAAUUUUACCACGAACUACGAGGUUUUGAUCCCUCAUUUUUAUGUUGGUACAUAGGCAUAAGACAUAAGGUAUUGUCAAACACAAAAAUAUAAUCAAUGAAUUUUUUUCUCAUCCCCGCACUCCAUUUUUUCCAAACAUCUUUUAUACCAAACACAUAUGCACACAUAAAAAAGGUCUCCCUAGGAGUACCUAUGACACUUUCGGCGCUAAGACCUUCCCUUUUGUAACCAUCCCCCUUACCUGUAAUAUCUGGCAUUUUAUUAGUUUUGAUUUGAAAACUUCUUAUCUUUGGGUUUUGUUCGUACUUUCCUCUUUUCCUUUGGAAACAAUAAAAGCACGGUGGCGACUCUGAUUCUAUUGACGUUAAGCUUAUCCAUAUCUUGAUAGUCAUGAAUUUAUCGCUACAAGGAUACCUAGGCAUGAGGGCCCCAAUCCUCACCGACUACUUUAUCUAUUUCCUUUCCCUUUCCUUCAUUCUUUUACAAGUAACCUUUAGAUAUAACACUUAUUCGAGCGAGAACUAUCAAAACGGUUCCCAUGGAGUACCAUGGAUGCUAGGGGUGUUAACACCUUCCCCUUGCAUAACCGACUUCCUUACCCAUCAUAUCACUUUCCCCUGGGUUUUAUCAAUGUUUUCCCUUUCGUUCUGGAAUAAAUAAAGUUCGAUGGAGGCUCUGUUGAAUGUUCGAGCGUGCAAUACUUUCGGGUAUAUUUAUGCUAGCUUCAGCUGGUAGUUGGUAAUCAUUCAUUUUGGCUUAUUACCUUUGUUAAGCUAUCACUCGUUUGAUAGUAGGUAAUAUUCCUCUUACCUUUGAUUGGUUACCUUUGUUAAGCUAUCACUUGGUUGGUAGUUGGUAAUUGUUCUAUUUUGGCUUAUUACCUUUGUUAAGCUAUCACUCGGCUGAUAGUAGGUAAUAUUCCUCUUACCUUUGAUCGGUUACCUUUGUUAAGCUAUCACUUGGCUGGUAGUUGGUAAUUGUUAUGUUUUGGCUUAUUACCUUUAUUAAGUUAUCACUCAGUAGAUAGUUAGGUAAUAUUCCUCUCCUUUUGGAGUCAGGUUUUUUUUCCCUUUUGAUGGUUUCUUUUCCCGGGCUAAGUCUUGCUUUGAUAAGUUUUCCCCGUUGGAUCUUUAGUUCAUUUUCUAACUGUGCAUUGGUUAUUCUCGAGUCUUUCCUUUUCCUCUACGGAAUUGUGUUUGUCCCAAGUCGGAUCUCCCUGUGGAAACUAUUUUUCCCACAAAAAUUUUGGUUUGCAUUCAUAUCAUAUCAUAAGCAUCUUGCGGUAUCUUAGGGACAAAAUUGGGUCUUUAAUAUUUAAGUCUUCUCAAUCUUGACGAUACGAAGAUUUUAAUCUUCAUACCUCCAAAUUGAAGAAAACUAAAUAGGAGCAUCUAUCAUACCAUAAUUUUUAACCCUAAGAUCCCACAUAUCAUUUGCAUCAUUGCACAUAAACAAGGUCACAUUUUGGUCCUUCCCCUAUCCACCUUUGGAUUUGCUUCUUGCAGGGAUCACCAAGCACCUCUUUGUUGGUUUGUUUUACCUUUGUGUUUACAUGUUCAUUACUUUUCUAACCACUAAUCAAAAUAGCAAAAAUAUGUCUUGUUUCCCUUAAGUUUAUUUUGCAAGGUAGGACUUUUCAUCAAGAGCAUCAAACAUGCUUCUUCAGCUAGGGUUUAUAUUGUUUCCUCAAGUCAAAGUGUGGUCAACCAUUGAUUCUUAAGGGGGAUAUCUUCCAAUGCAUGAUUUCAAAGGUUCUAAAGCACCUUUCAAUCUCAUUUUGAUCAAAAAUACAUCAAAGUCUUGUGGCUUACUUCCCAAGGAAAGUCAAAGGUUCAUGUGUUUAUUUCCAUGCCUUCUUCAACAAGUUACUUCAAGCUUCGAGAAAUCUAAUCAAGAUACAUUUAAGGACACCUUAUUUUAAGUUCAUAUGAUAAUUAAUAUGCUUUUAAAUGCAAUGAAAGUCCAAGUACACAAGCUUGUUCCAAGGGGUUUGACCUAAAAGUCAACCAUUUGAAGUCAGAGUUCCAAGGAUCACGACUCCUUCAAUUAUCAACAUUCUUAAUGAUUCUUUUUGCAUAUGAAUCUUAUAAAUAUCCUUUACAACUUCUAUUUACAUGACAAGAGACAAUUAUGCUUGUAGGAUCAUCAAAAGUUUCGAGACAUUAUAGGUCAUUUGUGGACUUAGUGAAAUUUAACCUAUUUUCAGUUGACUCUUUCCCAACAUUCAAAGAUC
rnacentral:lncRNA from 1 species